CACCACCGCCUCCGCCGCCACCACCACCACCACGACUGCUACCACCACCGCCUCCGCCGCCACCACCACCACCACGACUGCUACCACCGCCUCCGCCGCCGCCAUCAUCAUCAACAUUCCAACUCUAUUUACUAACAUCAGUAGCAGCACAAUAACAAAUCUCCCAUGCUGUAACGACGACCGUGACCAACCCGUCUUACUACUUACUACUAACAGCAACAACAAGAAGAAGCACGAAAACAACAAACCGUCACCUACCACCACCACCACCACCUCUACUACUACUACUACUACUACUACUACUACUAUCUCCAGUAGUACAAUAACAAACUGCCCUGCCGUGUCGUUCGUGACAUAGACACACAUAGAUACCAUCCACACAAAACACAAACACACACACACGCGCGCACAGAUCCCUACCGACAGAUCGUCCCCCAUCGCCGCCCUUAAAAAACCCCUCCACCUAAAGGCUCACCCCCACCAAAAAGGCUCACCCCCCGCCGCCGCCAUCAGCUUCUAACCAAGUCGGCCGUCGACACUUCAACGAUGCGGCUCUUUAACGCUACCAAAGCGAACUGCUCUUCUGCCAGAUAUUCCUCCUGUGCCAAUUCUGCGGACAAACGGUGCCAAAAACACGGUAGAGUUUUACCUUUUUUUCCAUUUAUUUCACACUUUUAUCAACUAACAACAACCAGCAUGCUAGAAAUAGCAGGCAAAAAAAAAAAAUCCUUCACUCGAGUCACAAAAACACGCGCAAACAUAAUUUAUGUACCUGUUGACUAAAACCUCCGUACGUACGUGUGUUUAUAUGUGUGUAUAUAUAUAUAUAUAUAUUCCGCCGAAGUCGACUUUGCCUUUCAUCCUUUCGGGGUCGAUAAAUAAAGUACCAGUUUUGCAACUGGGGUCAUUGUGAUUUCUUUGUCCUUGUUUGUCCCCUCUAUGUUUAGCCCCUUGUGGGCAGUAAAGAAAUAUAUAUAUAUAUAUAUGUUUGUGUGUGUAUAUGUAUGUAUGUAUAUAUGUAUAUGUUUGUGUGUGCAUAAAUGUACGUGUAUAUCAUAGCCAAAGCACUUCUACGGCUGUUUUCACACGUUCAUGUACCACUGCGUGGUCGCUUGACCAGGCAGCGAUAGCAGCUAAAUCCCUCCUUAAAUCAAACCCUACCAUAUGAAAAUAAUAUAUAAAUAAAUAAAGGGAAGCGGAGCCUCUAAACGUGGUCAUUGGACCCGCUAGAAAUAAAGCCCAAAUCCCACUCCGAUCACGUCUUUCAAUAAUGAAUUCUGGUCUAGUUUAGGUCGGUCAGAUCUGACCAGGGGUUAAACGUUAACAACCACGCAACAUCAUCGUUGUUAUUGUCAUCAACGUUGUCAUUGCUGUUGUUAUUGUCACCGUUGUUUCAUAUGGUGAUCUAUUUUCGAGUUUUAAUCAGCUUAGAGACACAAACGAGACUUCUGAAAUGUUUGACCUCUUCCAACUUCUCCGUAGACAUCAAUAUUUUGCUAUUUCCUUCUCUCUCGAAGCUCGUAAGCACUUUUAAGAGAUAUACAUGUUUGAUAUUUCUUAUUCACAUUACGGAAACACGCGCAAACAUAUAUACCUGUUGACUAAAAUUCCCAUACAAUUAUAUCUACACACAUAAAUGCAUAUAAAUACAGAUAGACUGGCAUACACCCUCUGAGAUAGAGAAAUACAGGCCGACAGAUAGAGGGGUAGAUAUAGAGAGAUAGAUAGGUAGACAGACAGAUACCGACUGAGAUAGAAAGAGAGGCUUAUCGAGAGAGAGAGAGAGAGACAGACAGACACAGAUAGAUAGAUAUAGAUAGAUAUGUAGAUAGAUAGAUAGAUAGAUAGAUAGAUUAGAUAGAUAGAUAGAUAGAUAGAUAGAUAGAUAGAUAGAUAGAUAGAUAGAUAGAUGGAUAGAUAGAUAGAUAAAUAGAUAGAUAGAUAGAUAGAUAGAUAGAUAGAUAGAUAGAUAGAUAGAUAGAUAGAUAGAUAGAUAGAUAGAUAGAUAGAUAGAUAGAUAGAUAGAUAGAUAGAUAGAUAGAUAGAUGGAUGGAUGGAUGGAUGGAUGGAUGGAUAGAUAGAUAGAUGGAUGGAUGGAUGGAUGGAUGGAUGGAUGGAUAUGAUAGAUGGAUGGAUGGAUGGAUGGAUGGAUGGAUGGAUGGAUGGAUGGAUGGAUGGAUAGAUAGAUAGAUAGAUAGAUAGAUAGAUAGAUAGAUAGAUAGAUAGAUAGAUAGAUAGAUAGACGGAGAUGAUCUCUGGUUUAACUCGAUACCCUUCUCACGAUAUUUUUUCUGUCAUUAACGCGUCACUUAACCUGCUAGAAAUAGCACCAUAAUCCCACCCAAAUCAUUUCCUACUUUAAAAAAAGAUUAUAAUGUGCUGUUGGAUGUACUGCCCUUUAAAAACGAUGAGAUGGUCACCUUGGGAAUGUCUCUGACCAUAGACUCGAUCAUUGCAAUAAACCACCAAAUGUUUGCUGUCAUUUACUCAUGUGAUAAUUUAUUUCAUUAAAAAACCCCUCCGUUUUCCAGUUUACCUUUAAAAUGUUCGGCACAUGUAAUAUUAGUUCAUUAAGUAACGAACUACUUCUACGCUUGUUGUUGUUUAAACUCUUGGUCGGCCUCAGUUGAACAUCAUUGAAGAUCAAAAGCGUUCCAGUUGUGCCAGUCCCAUCUUUUUUUUUAUAUAUGUUUAUCGAAACAUGGUUUAGCAAGGACUACUCUACAUCAAUACGGUGUGCGCUAUUUUUUUCUCGGGAGAUUUCCUUGUUAUUUCUAGCAGAUUGAGUGGUUACAAAGAAGCUCCUGCCCUCACCCCGAAUUUCAGUGUAACUCUCUCUCUCACACACACACACACGUACAUGCAUAUACCUGUUGCUAUAAUACCUGUAAAAUGAAAUUUGUUAGUAAUAUCUCUAAAUAAAUAUGCUUCUAUCCAUAAUCCUUGCUACCUGAACGAUCGCACAAAAGCAAGAAACUCGGAGUAGCGCCGAUUGAAGUGCAUCUAUUGCCAACAAAUAAACUAUGCGUUGAAUACCUUUUCAUCUAUGUGUACACCCUCACCAUAUAUAUAUAUAUAUAUAUAUAUAUAUAUGUGUGUGUGUGUGUCCUUUUUCUCCCCUUAUAGUUUUAGUGUCAACUACUCUCUCUCUCUCUCUCUCUCUCUCUCUCUCUCUCUCCCUCACGGGCAAAGAGCAUUUGUCUUCGUCCCUGGGUCCUUAUUCGCACCUGCAACCAAAUUAAUUUGCUUCUUAGGUUGUACCUGCCAAGUUCACUUGGUUUAACUUCUACAACUGCUGCUGCUGCUACUACUACUACUACUACUACUACUACUACUACAACAAAAAUGUGACUGCGUGGUUGCAUGACUUGCUAGAAAUAAGAGCCUAAUUUCCUUCAAGGAAUCCACACAGAAAUAACGCAGUCCAGAUGAUUGCAUUGCAGUCACGACUAUGAAGAGACCCCUGAACAGAGUCGAUCUGCUCCGACCCCGCGUUUAACAACCGACAGUGCUUCAGCCCUUUGUCAAUUUCGCGCGCUCAAAAUGAACGCGAAGGUAAACAUGCCAAGAUGAAGAAUGGAUUAUUGUUCUGGAAUCGAUAAGUUCCUUUGCGGAAAACUUUGCUUUCGCUCCAAUUCUAUAAUUUAUGAAGAUUUCACAUGUAUAAACACCCACAGAUAUUUAUAUAUAUACAUACAUGCAUAUGUACAUACGUACACACGCUGUAUAUUAAAGAGGAGGUGUAUGAUAUUCGUAUACGCAGAGUUAAUACUGGUGCUUACAUAAUAUAAACACACGACCUGGUUCUCUCUCAUUUACACUCACACACACAAACGUUUAUGUGUGUCUAUUCAGGCACGCCCACCUUCACGUAGUUUUAACGUUUUAUGUAUACGUAUGUUUAUGUGUAUGUGUGCACCUAGGUAUAUACAUUAUAUAUAAAUAUAUAUAUAUGAGCGUUAUACUAAUACAUCUGUUUGUUUUGGACACCACCUGUCUUCGUCUUUUGUUUUUUUCGUAAACUCUCCCUCUCUCUCUCUCUCUAUAUAUAUAUAUAUGUAUGUAUGUAAUGAAUGUAUGUAUAUGUGUGUGUGUGCGCGGUGUAUUCAUACAUGCAUGUAUACAAUGUGUAUAAGUAUGUUUAAUUCAUUUUACUGUGUGCGUGUAAAAUCAAACCACACACACACACACACACACACACACACACACACACACAUUAAAAUACACCAAAAAACUUGCUCUCACGUAUGCCUUGUAUUUCUUUAGAGGUGAAUACAUACAUAUAUUAAUUUGCUUCUUACGUUGUACCUGGGAAGCAACAAACUUUUUCCAACCACCGCUUUUCUGAAUGCCCUGAAGAAGGGCUCUUCACCCCGAAAUAUAGAAACACAAAGUAAAACUGAAGCUUUGUUCUGUUUUCUUUUCAUUUUGUAGUUUACUUUGUGCCUUCUCGUAUGUAUGCGUGUGUGUGUGUUUGUCUUUGUGCAUAUGUUGUCCCUUCCUCAGCCCUUGACAACCGGCGUUGGUUUGUUUGUUAUUCCCGUUACAUAGCGGUUCGGCAGAAAAGAGACUGAUAGAAUAUGUACCAGGCUUAAAACCAAAAAGUACUGUGAUCGAUUUGUUCGACUCGACUCUUUAAGGCGGUGCCCCAGCAUGGCCAUAGUCUUAGUGACUGAAACAAAUAAAAGAUUAUAUAUAUAAAUUUGAACUAUAUAUAUAUAUAUAGGCGCUUGGCUGUGUGGUGCGUGACACCUUGGGCAAGUGUCUUCUGCUAUAGCCCUGGGCAGACCAAAGACUUGUGAGUGGAUUUGGUAGACGGAACCUGAAAGAAACCCAUCCUAUCUAUAUGUGUGUGUGUGGGUGUUUUACGUCCCCGUAACUUAACUGUUCGGCAAAAGAGACCGAUAAAAUAAGUACUAGGCUGACAAAGAAUAAGUCCUGGGGUUGAUUUGUCUCGACUAAAGGCGGUGCUCCAGCAUGGCCGCAGUCAACUGACUGAAACAAGUAAAGGAAUAACAGAAUAUAUAUGAGUGUAUCGUGUGUGCACAUGGGUAAUUUGUGUGUGUGGUAGGUAUACGCAAAAUUCAUGUAGACCCCUCCCAUACUAACUCCACCAACUUCCACCCCAUUAAUCCACCCCUUCCUCCCGGACCGCCACCCCGCCACCCCUCUGAUCUUUCUGCUGUCAUUGACUUACAAACGUUCAAAGUGAACAUCGCCCGUAUCAAUCUCACCUGUCUUAAUCUCACUGUAUCAGUCUCACCUGUAGCAUUUUAGCUAUAGCCACCCCGUCUCUUGUGACUAUAGUAUAUCUGAGAGAGGCGGCGAGCUGGCAGAAUCGUUAGCACGCCGGGCGAAAUGCGUAGACGUAUUUCGUCUGCCGUUACGUUCCGAGGUCGACUUUGCCUUCUCAUCCUUUCGGGGCCGGUAAAUAAAGUACCAGUUACGCACUGGGGUCGAUGUAAUCGACUUAAUCCCUUUGUCUGUCCUUGUUUGCCCCCUCUAUGUUUAGCCCCUUGUGGGCAAUAAAGAAUUAUAUAGUAUAUCUGGGACUUCAUUAUUAAAUGUGUGAGUAAAGGAUUGCACAGGAGGACGACAAAGGAACCCUUACCCUAACUAAAGUGUGGGGUUCGAAGGAAAUUCGGCUGCUAUCUCUAACAGGUGGAACGGAUAUAUAGUGGCCCUGUCUGUGGUUCGUCUGGGCAGCAGCUUAGCUGAAUCGUUAACGCGCCUUUUAUCGAUAAAAUAAAGAACCAGUCAAAUAUUGGUGUCGAUCGUUUUAAUCGAGUGACCCCCCCUCCGCCUCCGGGCAUCUUCUCAGAAUUGCAGGUCUUUUGGUUGAAUAACAAACAGUGACUGAUGUUCUUUGGCCCUUAAAAACAUUACCGUAUAGCAGUACUUUUCAAACUUUUUUGCUGGAGCGGAACCUCAAGGAAACAUUCCACUGGCUCGAGGAGCCCCUGUGCAAUAAUUUAAUUGUCUUAAGCACACAUAUCUGCACAGGAGAAUUAAAAAUUACAGCCGAUUUUAGCAGUUUUGUAACUUCUUACGGAACCCAUGGACUGUACUGUCAGUACCCUAAGGUUCCGCGGAACCCUGGUUGAAAACCACUGCCGUAUAGAGAAGAACGUGAACAGACGUUUUGUUUUGAGGUCGGUUCGGUCUGCAGCCAGGGGAGAUACUGCUCGUGGCUGUAAUAGAAGACACUCGUCCAAGGUGACACGCAGUGGGACUGAACCCAGAACCUUGUGUGGCUGGGAGGAAAACUUCUUACUGCUUUUUUUAAUGGAAUAAAUACUUCAAAUUUUGCUAAACAUAAACAGCGCAAUCAAUAUUCUAAUUACUGGUUUGUAAACUUUGAGACGGAAAUCAGCUGCCGACAGCCGCCUAAAUACACCGACCCAAUUAACCGAGUCUCUGAUGUGACCACUUAAGCUACUAGAAAUAGCAACCAAAUCUUCCUGGUCACGCCUGCCGUGACCACCAUCUCGUCUAUCACUCAAAUACAAAGUAUCUACAAGUUGUUGAGCUAAUGUCCUUUCCGUUUUUUUGUUUUAAUCGUCAAGGUGUGAUUUGAGGAAUAUUCGGCUGUUAUGUUCUGCAGCCAUGUAGAGGCCUCGUGCCCGCGCGCGCGUACAAGCAGUGAUUUACGCGUGGGAAAAUAUUUGCUGUUGUUUAAUCUCAGACCAACCUUGAUCAAUCAAAGCUGUCAUCGAAAACAUUCCAGCCACGACUAUCACUUCAUUUUGUGUAUCAGGGACUAUAGUUGUCCAUUUUCUUUUAGGACCGUGGGGUGCAAUUUAAGGUGAAUUUGGCUACAAUUUCUAGCAGGCUGAGCAACCACAUAUAGGAUCCUCUCCUUAGCUUUUGUUGGCCGUUGUGUGUUUUGUAUGGACUUUGGAUAUAAUGGGUGCGCCCCAAUAUAUUGUUGUUUGGGUAGGUUUUUUUUGUGUGUGUGUGUGUGUAUGAAUGUUUCUUUGUACGAGCGAGUGUUGAUGUAUGUUUGUCUCUCUUCUCUCUCUCUUUUACUCUUUUACUUGUUUCAGUCAUUUGACUGCGGCCAUGCUGGAGCACCGCCUUUUAAUCGAGCAACUCGACCCCGGGACUUAUUCUUUUUGUAAGCCCAGUACUUAUUCUAUCGGUCUCUUUUUUUGCCGAACCGCUAAGUAACGGGGACAUAAACACACCAGCAUCGGUUGUCAAGCAAUGCUAGGGGGACAAACACAGACACACAGACACACAAACACACACACGCAUAUAUAUAUAUAUAUAUAUAUAUAUAUAUACAACGGGCUUCUUUUCAGUUUCCGUCUACCAAAUCCACUCACAAGGCUUUGGUCGGCCCGAGGCUAUAGUAGAAGACACUUGCCCAAGGUGCCACGCAGUGGGACUGAACCCAGAACCAUGUGGUUGGUAAACAAGCUACUUACCACACAGCCACUCUUCGCUUCUAAAGUGUUACGUUUUUGCAGGUCUCUAAUCUGUCUGCACAUGGCGAUGUGUGUUUACAAUCACUGUCGGGAUUCGUAAACAAAAUCUCUGCAGGCUUCCGUAAAUGCUUUUCUGCUCUAGCCACCAGGCCCGAAAUUUUGGGGGAAGGGGGGGCAGUCGAUUAGAUCGAUCCCAGCACGCAAUUGGUACUUAAUUUAUCGACCCCAGAAAGGAUGAACGGCAAAGACGACUUCUGUGGAAUUUGAACUCAGAACGUAUAUUAAAGUUCAACUGCUUUAUGCACGUGUGAGUGAGUGUGUGUGUGUGUGUUAAAGGCAUGAAACUGUGUGUCAGUGUGUCCGUCGAUAACUGAUGAAGAAUUAGGCUCCGUCUGUGUUUGUCCGAUGUGUACGUUUUUUAGUAUUUUAUGCAUUUUUCGUGAGAGAGUGAGAGAGAGAGAUUGAUAAACAUGCACACAUAUACACGCGUGAUGGAAUGUAUAAACGUGAGUGUAUACAGGUUAUCUUUCAAAAGUAUUUCAAACUGCAAGUACACUACACACUGUUUACAUUUUACACACCGCUUUUCGUCAAAUAUACACCAAAGUGUGGGAACUGAGGAGUGGAGGCGGGAACGGGUGCAGGGUGGGUGGAAAGGAGUUGGGAGUUGGACUGGUUUUAAAAACAUUGGGUAGCUGGGAUAGAAAGGGGUUCAAGAGCGCCGAGUAAUAAAUGUGUAAUAUAUCAAACGGCUCACGAUGGUUGGUGGUGGUGGUGUGUGUGUGUGAUGAAGAUGGGUGUAGCGAGAACGGGUGGCUCUGUGAUGGUGGUGAAUGAUAGCCGUGGUAGAGGCUUGUGUUGAUGGUGGUAGUCGUGGCGAUGAAGGUAGGUGCGUGUGUGGCUAGCGAUGAUGAUGAUGGCGGUGGUGGUGGUGGUAGUCGUGACAUUGAAGGUGAAUGUAUGUGUGUGUGGGGGGACUAGCGAUGAUGAUGAUGAUGGUGGUAGAAGUGAUGACGAUGACGUCGACGAUGAGAAGAGAGAGGAGCCUGAGGCCCAAAUCCAGCUCCGGUUGAGCUAAUCAUUACGAAAGGUGUUCUAUCGGUGACCAAUCCCGUUUUUAAGAGGGUGCCCUAUAAGCUACAGUAUCUUGUGUGACUCAUAUUUUAUCGUUGUAAUUUAAUGGCUAUUUUAACUGCUAUUUCUAGCAAGUCGAGCGAAAGCGGUGGGUAUGAUGGUCAGUGAUGUGUAAUGGUUUACCAAAUGGUCGGGCGAUCAAUGCCAUGAGGUCACCUCACCACCCGAUUACAAAUUAGGCACAUUUAUGUAUUUAUACAGCAUUUACGGACAAAGUUUACAUUCUAUACACGCGUGCUGUGCAAAUAACAAAAAGAACAGAGAGUGCUCAAUACGAUAUAUAGAGUUUUAUUGUAUUUACGGGAAGCUGAACACUUCGCCAACCGUUACUGCUCAGUUUUAACGUUUCCAAUCAUCAAAUAUAUCAGACAGAAUAUAAGGAAGCUAUAAGGUGAGACACGAGCACUCAGUGUCCUCUGCAGCUUGUAGCAGAAACAGCUGUUCGCCAAUGCUGGUUAUUGCAUAAUUUCCCGCCCCUUUUGUCUUUUAUUUCGUUUCUCAUUACGUUCUGUACUCGAUUCAUGCUUUAUCCAGAAGCAUUAUUCAGUUCUAACCCGAGUUUAUUAAUAUCGUUUGUGCCUAAGCGAAAUCAUAAGGAAUGUGUGCGUGUGUGUGUGUGUAUAUAUAUAUAUAUAUAUAUAUAUAUAUAUAUAUAUAUAUGCGUGUAUACACACACACGCAUACACAUAAUACAUUGUAUAUAUAAAUACACACUGUUUUUACUUUGUUGACGCGAAAACACAAAGGAGGUCAGCUCUGUUUGAAGUGUGUAUAUAUUAGGGUAAAUAGGGAUCACAUUUCAGGACCACGAUUUCAUAGAAACUUUGUGUGUGUGCGUGUGUGUGUGUGAAGAGAAAAGGGAGGCUAACCCCAACGGUUUCCAUUUUAGAUAAAUAUUUCAUGUUUCAAUAUAUUUCUAUUCGAGAAGGCGGCGAGUUGGCAGAAUCGUUAGCGCGCCGGGCGAAAUGCUUAGCGGUAUUUCGUCUGCCGCUACGUUCUGAGUUCAAAUUCCGCCGAGGUCGACUUUACCUUUCAUCCUUUCGGGAUCGAUAAGUUAAGUACCAGUUACGCACUGGGGUCGAUGUAAUCGACUUAAUCCCUAUGUCUGUCCUUGUUUGUCCCCUCUGUGUUUAGCCCUUUGUGGGUAAUAAAGAAAUAGGUAUUUCGUCUGCUGCUACGUUCUGAGUUCAAAUUCUGCCGAGGUCGACUUUGCCCUUUCAUCCUUUCGGGGUCGAUAAAUUAAGUACCAGUUGCAUAUUGGGGUCGAUCUAAUCGACUGGCCCCCAAAAUUUCGGACCUUGUGCCUAGAGUAGAAAAGAAUAUAUUUGUAUUCGAGGGAAUUAUUCAGGAAAGGAUGUUUCAAACAUUUCCGUAUUUAUAUGCAAAUAUAUAUUUUCUAAUUUAUUUUAAUCACCGGUCAUUCCUGAUUGAACAGUUCUCUAAUCAGAGGCAUUUCGCCUCUGAACAUCUAAGUUUUUACGAGUAUCUAGGACUGUAUCUUCCAAUCCAAUGUGUCCUUCACACCUUCACUUUUUUAUAAAAGGGUAUGAUUCGAAGGAUAAUUGGCUGCUAUUUCUAGCAGGGCGUGAUUCGAAGGAGAUUUGGCUCCUAUUUCUGGACAGGGCGUGAUGUGAGGGAGAUUUGACUGCUAUUUCUGGCAGUGUGUGAUUUGAGGGAAAUUUGGCUGCUAUUUCUGGCAGGGCGUGAUUUGACGGAGAUUUGGCUGCUGUUUCUGGCAGGGCGUGAUUUGAGGGAGAUUUGGCUGCUAUUUCUGGCAGGGCGUGAUUUGAGGGAGAUUUGGCUGCUGUUUCUGGCAGGGCGUGAUUUGAGGGAGAUUUGGCUGCUAUUUCUUGUAGCGUGUGAUUUGAGGGAGAUUUGACUUCUGUUUCUGUCGGUGAGAUUUUAGUUGUUCUUCCUGGCAGGGGUGGGAUUUGAGGCGCAACUAACAAGAGAGUCCGUAUGCAAGAAUCGGUGGGUCUAUGUGGAGGUAAUAUACAUGUAUUGUGUGUGUGCGUGGGCGGUGCUGAAGAGCAAGGUCAAGAGUGAAGAAGGUGUUUUCCACACAUAACUCUACGCUUUAUACAACCCAGCGUAAGAACCAUAACGUCAACGAUGGGGUGAGAUGGGGUGGGUGGAGUGGGGGACGGAGAGACCCUUUUCGUACCGGGAUCAUGUUGCAUGUGGAAUUGAGAACGCGUGGGAGAGUAGGUAGGGGUUAGGGGACACAUCUGUGCUGAGAAAAACAAAUUCUUUCAAUAUCAUUUGGUUUAUAGGUAUGUAACGUAUUUGAUUCAGUCACUGGUUUGGUAAGCAAGGCGCAAUCGUACUUGAAAGACGUGGGCGAAAUUUCACUGCGCCUGCUAGAAAUAGCAGUCAAAUAGCAUUCAUACCACACACUAUUUUCUUUAAAAAGGAAGAUCACAUUAGAUAAUGUAGUGCUAUAUAAGCUGCAACGGUUUUGACCCACGAAACUACUACCGCCGAUAGACAUAACAAUGUGUGUGUGUGUGUGUGUGUGUGUGUAUGUAUGUAUGUAUGUUUGUAUGUGUGUGUAUGUAUAUAUAUAUAUAUAUAUAUAUAUAUAUAUAUAUAGAUAGAUAGAUAGAUAGACAGAUAGAUAGAUAGAUAGAUAGAUAGAUAGAUAGAUAGAUAGAUAGAUAGAUAGAUAGACAGACAGAUAGAUAGAUAGGCAGAGAGAUAGAUAAAUAGAUAGAUAGUAGAUAGAUAGAUAGUAGAUAGAUAGAUAGAUAGAUAGAUAGAUAGAUAGAUCAGUUACUAGAUUAGAUAGAAUCUAGGCAUAUCAACAAGUAGGAUGCCAGGAAUGGCUGGGUACUGAGUAUUGAGCUCAAAGGAAACCAAAACAACCUUUAAUUGUCGUUUGUUUGGAUACUGUAUGUAUACUAAUCGAAGUAUACAGUGUUGUAGAUCCAUUUCUUUCGAUCGUAUCGAUGGGUUUCGCACUGGAUAUUGAUUAACCGGAUAUUAAAAAACAGCACGGUUAAGUAAUACUGCGUGCUCUUUAGAGAUUGCAGAGCACGUGGUAUUACGUAACCCUAAUGUUAUCUAAUAUCCGGUUAUUUAAUGCCCAGUGCGAAACCGAUUGAUAUGAUUGGCUGAAAUAUAGAUCGAUAAUACUGUAUUAUUUCAAUAUUAAUAUAUCCACUCUGUUUACAAAUAUACGAGUGCGUAUUUUUUUCUGACUUACAGAUUCUUAAACGACUGUCACACAUACAUACAAACGUGUGUUUGUGUGUGUCUGUGCGCGCACACACACACACACACACAAAUGUGUGUGUGUAUAUAUAUAUAUAUAUAUAUAUAUAUAUAUAUAUAUAUCACGUGACCGACCAGCCCAUCAGAUGUAGUUACACAUCGCUGGUCACAAUGCGUUCGCAUUGUUUUAGCCUUCCAAUGACGCCACCCCGCUGGCUAAGCGAGCAGACCAACAGAAGAAAGAGUGAGAGGAGGAGUGGUGAAAGAGUACAGCAGGGAUCACCACCCCCUGCCAGAGCAUCGUGGAGCUUUUAGGUGUUUUCGCUCAAUAAACACUCACAACGCCCGGUCUGGGAAUCGAAACCGCGAUCCUACGACCGCGAGUCCGCUGCCCUAACCACUGGGCCAUUGCGCCUCCACAUAUAUAUAUAUAUGUAUAUGCACACAGAAAGAGAGAGAGAGAGAGAGAGAGAGGAUUAGAGCCUUCGUUUCCGGUUUUACAUCACUUUUAGUCAUCCACAGCCAUCUUUUUGCUCUGUCUGUCUUAUCUUCAACAUCCCUAUGAAAUUGACCAUGCAUUCUUUUCUUUACCCACCUAUUUUCAGUUUCAUUCGUUUUCAAUUCCUUGUAUCAUGCUUUAUCUUUGCAAUCUUUCAUCCUACACAAGCCCGACCUUCCUAUUUCUAAUAAUAGCGGUUCCGUGGCAUUUUUUACAUACCAUGCUAUGUUGUUUUCUUCUGCUCUAAUGCUGUGUUCGCAUCCAAUAAGUUCUCUUCCUCCUCUUUUUCUUGGUACAUACAGUCUGUCUGUGUCACAUUUUGGGUGAAGUGACCCAUAUCUAGUUAGCAACUUCCUUGUCUUUCUGUCUAAGCUGUUUAGUUCGUCUACUCACCAUACGAUUACCCCUGCUCCAUAUCUAAGGAGUGAAACCGCCCAGGUGUUGAUAGCUUCGAUCUUAUUCCGUCCGUUUAAUUUUGACUUAAGGAUCAGUCUCUGUCUGCGUAAGUACUCCACCUUAAUUUUUUCUGUCAUUUCUUUCUCCAUCAAUUUAUCCAUUUCCAAAAUCCCCAAGUACUUAUAGCCUGUCUCUUCUAUCUGCUUCAUAACCUCCCCCGACGGUAUCGUUAGCCCGUCCAUACAUUUGAUUUUGCCCCUCUUCAAGACUAACACACCACACUCUCUCAGUCCGAACUCCAUUCUGAUGUCAGCACUAAAGGUAUGCACCAUAUCAAUGAGGGAACUGACUCGGGCUUCAUCUUUACCAUAAAGUUUGAGGUCAUCCAUGAAUAGCAAAUGGUUGACUUUUUGCUGGCGGCUUUUGAAUACAUACCCAGCUUUUGCUUUCCUCAGAAUCACUGUUAGUGGUAUCAAGCACAGUACAAAGAUCAGUGGGGACAGGCAGCCCCCUUGGAAAAUGCCCCUCUUUAUUUCUACUGUCCUUAAACUUCUUCCGUGUGCUGUCAGGUCCGUCCUCCAAUUCGCCAUACUUUUUCCAAGCAAUUGCUCAACAUUCGAUGCAAUACCAAAUAGGUUCAUACACUCCAUAAUCCAUGAAUGUGGAAUCAUAUCGUACGCCUUACGAUAAUCGAUCCAUGACAUGGCUAAGUUACUUUUCCUCCUUUUGCAGUCUCUAAGUACAGUUUUCUCUAUUAGGAGUUGAUCCUUGGUAUCUCUGCACUUACAUUUGUAACCCUUCCGCUCAUUUUUCCCCAGAUGUUCGUACAUUGACUCUGUGAGUAUUCCAGUCAAUAACUUUCACAUAAGCGGCAAACAGGAUAUCGACCUGUAAUUGUGUACCAUAUUGCCUUCGUCGAUGUUUUUCAUGCACAGGACUGUCCUACCCAAUGUCAACCACUCUGGUAUUCCUUGGUCGGCAUUUAACAAGGUGUUGAGUUGCGCAGCUAUUCGUGCAUGACAUUCACCAAAUCUUUUGGUCCAGUAGCCUUGAACUCCAUCUGGUCCCGGGGCCUUCCAGUUGCUCAUUUUUAUGCUGAUUUCCUUCACUUCCUUAACUGAAAUGACUAUUUCUGCCUGUUUUGGACAGACCACUGUUUGUUUCAGUUCUUGCAACCAUUCACCAUCCUUCUUGUGCUCCUUGUCUUUGCUCCAGAUGCCACUCCCAAACCUUUGACUUUCAAUGUUAUCUGGUAUCAACUUUUCAUCUGUACACCCUCCAUUUAUGUCUUUCUAGAAUCUCUUCUGAUCUACUCUGAAUAACCUAUUCUGGUGGUAACCCUUCAUUCUUUGGUCGUAUCUUACCAUCUUUGCUUUCUUUGCAACGAGGUGCUGUUUCAGUUCCUCCACUACCGCUUUCAGCCCCUUUCUUUCAAUAUUAUACUUCCUAUUCAGCGCCCUGUAUUUUUUUAUUCGCUUUUAAGGGACCCUUUCUCUUUUCGGUCUAACACAGAGAUUUCCUUCGAGAGCAUGUCUAACCCUGGCUAGAUUCCUUCUUUUUUCCCCCAUGGAUCUUUUCUUUUGUCCCUCCCAUUAUAUUCCUUUUUCUUGACCUCAACACCCACGUUUUCUGCUACAACAAUACUUGCUGCCUUGAUCGAAUUAUUUGUUUCUGUGAUGUUGUUUGUUCUGAUCUAUUUCAGAAUUUCAUUGACAUUUUUCGUUUCUUGGUUCAAUUUCCAUCGAUCAACCUUUUUAAGGUUACAAAUAAUGUCGAUAUCGUUCUCCUGUAGUCUUACCUUUAUUCUGUCAUAGAUUGCCUUUUGUUCAUCUGUCAUGUCACCUUUAGUUUUAUCGUCUUCUUUCAGACCAUCUAUAUGUCUCUCAUCAAGUAGACUACCACCGCUCCUUUCCUGUGCUAUAGGAUUACUCUUAUUAGUAUGAACUCUAUUUUCAUUGUUAUCUCUGCUGCUAUUUUCCACGACCCGUCUUUUGAUAGCUUCGAGCUCUACUUCUGUGACCCAACAAUUUUUCCUUAUUACUCCAGCUUGAUCACAUGAGAAAUAAAACAUUAUAUUCAUGCACGCGUGUCUGUUGUUUAACCCCAGGUCAAUCCUGAUCAAGCAGACCAUUAACCAAAGACGUUUCAGUUAUUACUAUCCCGUCCAUUUUCUUCCAGGCAUAGUGUACCUAGUAAUGCGUCUUCCAAUGUCUCCUUCCCGUUUGUAAGUUGUUGGGUGUGAUUCGAGAGAGAUCAAACUGAUAUUUCUAGCAGGUGAAGUGACCAGUUCCUGCAUUUUAUCCCAUUUCAGAAAUGUUAUUGAGGCCCAAUGAAUCCGAAUACGCAGUAACUAACGUCCAUGUUAGUUCGACCUUGAUCGAACAGGCUUAAGAUUAAGGAUGACUCAAGUGGUGACCAUCCCGACUUUUAUUAAGGCAUAUUCUAUCUAGGAUUACAUUGUCCAAUGCGUCCGUCUCUUUUUAAGUGGGUUUGGUUGUGGUUUAAGAGAGCAUUCAGCUGUUAUUUCUAGCAUCCUGGGCGAUCACAUAGAUGGGGCUUGUGCAACCAUUUCGCGAAGCGGACCGCACAGACAUAGCCAUAAGUGUUUAUUACUAAAAGCACUCAAAGUAAUUUUUUGAUUUGGAUACCGUUCAGAAGCCCCACGGGCCGCAGUUUGCCCGUGACUGAGAAAUCGUCGUUGGCCAUGAUGACGAUUUCUUCUUUCACUGGCAGAAAACCACAGAUCAGUAGGGGAGAGUAUUGUCGAUUGAAUAGAUCCCUGGCGUAUAAACGGGUAAGUAUUUAAUCGAUCAUGCCACACCAAACCAAUCCCCAAAGGAGGAAGAUUUAAGUUGACCUCGGAGGGAUUUGAUCUCUGUAUAUGUGGGAUACGAAUACUUGACUGAUCUUACUGCAAUUAUAGACGUGACAUCAUUAAACAUCACAUUUAUUGAUGUAUUGCUAUCUGCGUGUUCUCCUCUGAUACAAGUAUUUAUUUGUAUAUAUACAAUGGUGAUAUAACUAUUUAUAACAUCUGCUGAUAUUAUAUGUACUGUCUAGAUAGUAUCCGAUGUUAUCAUAUAGACUGGUGUAUGUAAGUAUGUGUGUAUAUAUAUAUAAACACGUACAGACGUACACCACAGGCAUUUUUAUUUUACCUCUUAAAAUAGGAGGAAGCCAGCCUUGAAUUCGCCAAUCUUAUUUGUUUAUUAUCUGCUUCAUGAUUAGUCAUGGAGAGUAGAGCAGCUUCCGUAAGUGAUAAGACGUUGAGAGAAUGUCCUGGAACCGGAGCCUGAACCCGGAUGCUUACAACAGAGUGAACUUCGCGUUCAGGGACCGGGUGAUGGUGGUGGUGGUGGUGGUGUUAAACUGGGUGACGAAUUAAGUCUCUCACCUUAAACCUCAAAAUACAUAGAAAUGGAAUAAAAUGCCGCGAGACAUCUCGUGCAACGCUUUGACAUUUCACCAAUCAACCGUCUUGGGCCGAUGCCUUAUUUUGUUGAUCCUGGAAAAUUAAAAAAAUAUUAAAAAAACUGAGUUGAUCCUGAUGGGAUUUGAAUUCAGAGUGAAAAGAAGUGAAACAACUACUGCCAGCCAUUUUGUUUCUACACUUUAACGAUUCUGCCAGUUCGAGUCGAUUUAUAUUAUGAGCUAAUAAACCUAUCAAGCCCUAAUCGGACUGAUCUAUGCUCAAAGGUAUUCCAGCCAUGACCAUUUGGUGGUCAUAUAUCACGCCUUCCUUAUUGAAAACGGUAGGAUAUAACUUGAGGGAAAUUUGGUUGCUAUUUCUAGCGGGUAUUAUGAAAAAACCAUGUAGAGGCUCCCUCACUGGGUUGGUGACCAAAUGAGUUCUGAGAGUAGCCGUAAAUCUGGUGCGUUUGUAAGAAACCCGCUUCUGCUGCGACUACGAAGGAAACUCCAGACCAAAGAAUGAAUAUUCGUCGAAUCCCAACGAGAUAAUUGGUAUUCAUUUAAUCCAUGUUUGUAUUGAACGCUUAUUUCGGCAGUUUGGGGUCAGAUUUCAUGAGAUGAACUCCGGCUGACGUCACAUCCAUCAUGAAUUCCAGUUUAUAAUGUCACCGUAUAACUCUUUCGCUUCUAUCUCGACUUCUUCUUUUCUUUCUGCAUCUUUCACAUCCGCUGACCUUUCCACUGACUCAUUUCUAUCCUAAAUCCAGCAUCUCCCCUCCCCGCUCACUAAUAAUUCUUUGUAUGCCUCCCUUUCUAUGGUACACAGGAAAAAUAGUCAAGUAAUUCAUUUUAUAUUAUAAUUUCUGAACACCAGGGUCGUUGGUUAUAAGUCUCCGAUAAACCAACUGCCGGUUCAUUGCAUUUUUGACAUGGAACGCCUAAACUCGGUGGAUUUUUGGUCAAAGUGUACCGAUCAUUCGCCGCUUUGUGGAAGGCAGUUAUCUUGUCUUCUAUUACAAUUCCAUUCACGUCUCGGAUGUAUUAUUGGAAUUUUAAAUGUUUUACCGUCAAACCCAUGUACUUAAGGCAACAAAAGAGAUAGAUUAUGUCUCCCCUCACCCUUCAAGUGUCGAAUUUGCCAUACAUUAUGCAAAUAGUGCAAUUGAAGCAGGGUCCUUCAAAACGGGUUAAAAUUUGCAUUUUCCUUGUUGCCACUUGCAGCAAAUAUUUCGAUUUUUGAACAGAGAAGAAAAUUAUCAAAUAUUCGUUAACAAUCAACCACUAACAAAGACAGGAAUUCGUAUGUUUUCUUUAUUUGAAAUAUUUCACUAUUUUAAAAGUUGAACAUCUGGAUAUUGGUAGGGACUUCGUUCGAAACCGAGUGUGUGCGAUUUGAUGUAGGUUCAAAUCUCAGGUCAAUCCAUGUCUUUUCACUUUCUCGUCGUAUCAACAAACGCUACCCACGCGUUGUCAAGAAUGGGGAGAACACGAGUAGACGCAACCAGGCCAGAGUCGGAGGGAGGUUCCUUAUGACACAUGGACCCCUACUUAAUUGGGGUUGGGGGUGGGGGUGAAAGCCUUUUAAAGGUGGUCCAACGGUCAUCUUUUAAAGAUGCCAGGCGUUUAAAGAAUUGGUUUACUACUCACUUGAUAAAAUCAGAUUAACUUUUUGCACCGAAACAAAUCCAUUUGCAGCACCACAUAGCCGGAAGAUUCCACAAGAAUCACACGUGAUAACAUCAUCAGCAUCCUGUCCCCCCCCCCCCCCCCGCCACCGAAGACAAUCCUUGGCACCGAAGACACACAGACAGAAUUCGAUUGAAACGUCUUCUAAGUUUUAUUUUGUUACACACAGACACACACACACACAUGACAUAGCAAAAACAAACAAAUCACAGGUUUACGUUUAUCAAUACGGGUGAAUCCGGGAUAUAUAUGUAUGUAUGUGUGUGUGUUUGUACGUAUGUGUGUGUAUGUAUGUAUGUAUGUAUGUGUGUAUGUAUGUAUGUGGGUGUGUAUGUAUGUGUGUGUGUAUGUGUGUGUAUAUAUGUAUGUUUGUAUGUAUGUAUGUGUGUGUAUGUUUGUAUGUAUGUAUGUAUGUGUGUGUAUGUAUGUUUGUAUGUAUGUGUGUGUAUGUAUGUGUGUGUAUGUAUGUGUGUGUGUAUGUAUGUAUGUGUGUAUGUAUGUAUGUGUGUAUGUAUGUGUGUGUAUGUAUGUAUGUGUGUAUGUGUGUGUGUAUGUAUGUAUGUUUGUAUGUAUGUAUGUAUGUAUGUAUGUAUGUAUGUAUGUAUGUAUGUGUGUAUGCAUGUAUGUAUAUGUAUAUAGUUUUGGGUAUCGAAUUUCAGAUCGUUAAGACUUCAGGAUAUGAAAUCAUUUGAGACGAUGUAUGACUAGACACGGAACAUGGAACUUUACACUUUUCGAGGAAUGUUCCAAAAUUCCAAAACCUUUUCAGAAUCCAAUCAAUAUCGAAGCGUGGUCUUUUAGAAUAACGAUUUGGUGUCACCUUGGAACAACGAUAUUCUGUCAGUGUUUUGCAACCGAAGGUUACCAAGUUUAAUCAUUGCAAUUUUAUUCUCUCCCACCCACCCACCCUGUCUGUCUGUGUCUCUCCCUUCCUGUCUGUCUGUCUGUCUGUCUUUCUCAUUGUAUUUAGUUAAAAAUUCUCCGCCCCCGCCACUUUUAAAUCCCCCCCUUCCCCGCUGAUUCCAGGAAUUUUUAUUUAAAACCGUUACUAUUUCGAUGAGUCACUUCUAUAAUGUUUUAGCUUUUAAAGGUUUCUUUUGUAAACGGAGAGGAAACUGGCGAACAAAACUGGCUUUUUGUUUGUGAAAACACACACACACACACACACACACACACACACACACACACACACACACACACACCACAUUCCAAUAAUAAUCAUCAUACCACGGCAAGUUUGUAGGUUUAUUCAGAACGACAGAUGAAGAAGCAUAUUUUAUCGAUCGAACUUUGUCGAGAGAAUUAAAAACAAAAACAUUCUCCAAAUUUAACUCGUAACAAAACUGUUGGAUCGCAGUUUAAUUAUAGGCCGGCACGGCUGGCUUUCUUUUUCAUUAUUUUCACAUUUUCGUGGACGUUUUCGCUACACAUAUUUGAAGAGGAUGGUUACUAUAUUAUUUGGUCGGCUCUAGUCAAUGUCUGGUUCUGGCAGAGAGUGAAUGGAAACUAUAAAGCGAAGCCGCCCCCGUUUUCACGCUAAUUCUUUGAUACAUUCGCGCACGAACGCACAAAACACACACAGACACACACACAGUUUGAUAAAUACAAUACCACGAAGCUCUCGAUUCUCGAGUCACUUAUGUAACUUUAAAAGCUGAAUAGCUAAUAUACACACACAGACAGAUUUUCCGUCGCACAGAUGAAAACAUUAAACAAUGCAUGAUCAAGCGCACCGCCUUACCUGACGCCCAUUUUGACAUUGAACUGCUCAGAUUCCCGCCUCCGAACAAGAAUUCGAGUUAGCAUCUCUGCCUGGACAUUGACACAGUCAGACUAAACACUCUAAAAAGAACCGCAUAAACUCCGAUUCCAUAAGCUUAUAAGUUGGAAGCAUUCUUUGCUUUAGGCACCAAUAUUCAGUUCAGUGGCGGAUUCUGUUUGGCGCCGGGGACCAAGAUCUUAACCUUCGCCAUCCAUUCACUGCUGUUGAAGCCUAAUAAUUGUCAUUUAUAUUGCGUUUUUUUCUAUAACAAACCCUCUGCAUAGUUUACCCACCCCCUCUCCUUCAUUCCUCUGUGUCUCACUCUCAUCUUUUCCUCUCUUGAACUAUGAGCGGGACGCACUGGCACUUCAUCAUCACCGUUUUUACUUCCCCUGUUUGAGCCCUUCUCCACUCUCUCCCAUCCACUCAUGUAAAAUACUUAAGUAACUAUAAGUUUCCUCCACAAAUAGUGUCCUGCUCUUGCGCCCCUCUCCCUUCUCGUCUGCUCAAAACCUUCAUCCAAUUUUCCAUCCUCUCUCUCAGUCGCCGAAGGUUUCUUCAGUCUUGCAAGUUACAAGAUAACCCCAUUGGUGCUGGUGCCGCGAAGAUUGCAUUCAAAACACUGUAAAGUGGUUGAUAUGAGCGAGAGCAUCCAGCCGUAGUAAUCGUGUCAAAACUGUGACACUGAAGCAAGACACGCUUCUCCGAUCCGUUGGUUCCUGUUAAAACGCUAAUUCAUAUCAGCAUGGAAAGCGGACGAGGACGACGACGAUGAUGAUGAUGAUGAUGAUUCCUUUAGAUGGGGUUUGGGAACCAUUUAUUUACACGUGAGGCAUAUUAAAAGUGCAUAUAAAACUCGGAAGACUCAUCCAUGCUGAGAAAAAUAACGAAUCUUAAAUUACUGUUUUGGGUCUUAAGGCUUCAAGUUUUUUUCCCUUCUCUCUAUAGUACCUCGUCUCUGGGUAUCUUCAAACUUGAAUGCGGUUGAAAAUUCACCGAUGGCUGACAGGGUUCGCCAUUUCUGUUUUAAGAUGAUCAAAGUGUAAAAGAUGAAUCAUUUACAUAUCCAAAAUGUUCGCUCUUGGUGGGCAUAUCAGGAUAACUACACGAAUCAAAACAUUUUGUUGGUAGAAACUCCCCGACACGGAGCUAUGUGAGGGGUUGUUGUUUAACCCCAGGUCGGUCCUGAAUGUGCAAUACUAUGAUCAAAAGCAUUCAAGUUUUGAUCAUAUCCCGUCUUUAUGUAAGGUUGCUGUCGUUUUGUCUGGUGUCCCUCACGUCUCUAAAUUUAUAUUCGAAAUCCACGGAUUGUCUCAUAUACUGCGCUUCCUUGGGAUCCUGACAUAUCGGCCAUUUAAGGGUUUCUUCGCAUUCCCAUCAGUGUACUUUGCCCGCUGUUCUGUUGUGGUCUGACCUCCUCAAACUGUUUGCAUUUAACCACAGCUUUCCGAUUAGAUGGUUGAUGACUCAUUGAAAACUACAUCAUUCUGGAUCCCCCACCUUUAAGACAGUAAAGAAUGGUUUGUCGAAGAUUUGGCAGCUAUUUCCAUCCAGUGGAUCGAGCGAUCAUAUAAAAGCUUCUUCCUUUUUGUGGCUAUUUUAAAAAUAUUUUCUGUAAAAUCUUUUAAUUGCUAUUUAUAAGAUGACAUUCCUUUUUUUUCCCGCCGAGUCCAAAGAGUGCCUGGGAGAGAAUUGCUGAGGCUGUAGUUUGGAACCAUUUUGGGUUUUUUUCUCUUUUACUCUCUUCAAUGUUGUCAAAUUAGAGAGAGAGAGAGAGAGAGAGAGAGAGAGAGAGAGAGAGAGAGAGAGAGAGAGAGAGAGAAGAAAUUGACUCCAAUACUUGACUGGUACUUUAUUUACCGAAUCCAAGGCAAAGAUUACCAUAGCGGGAUUUGAACUCAGAGCCAUAAGAAAUUUGGACACUCUCGAUGAUAUUGCCACUUGGCCGCCAGUGCAAGUAGCACUGAAACAAUCAUCUGAACGGACGGAAUUUCUUAUCCACAAUUCUUUCAUACCUCUCCAUUCUCUUCCCGUUUGGAAUCAGACAACGUAAGAAACCAUUAUUUUUAGUUAUUGAAAAUGGUAAACAUUUAUUCAUCACUUCCCCCCACCGUACGAGAAUGAGAAUUCGUCAAUAGAAUGGUUUUACCCGUGAGCAGAUGUGUUCAUUUUGAUUUAACCCUAGAAUGGCAUUUGUUAAUAAUUGUUGACGUUUCAAAUAAUAACACCUAAUUAGAAGGAAAUGAGAAAGAUUAACAGAUUCGACAAAGCUUUAACGGUUUCAACAACGUUAUUAUUGCAGGCUGGCAAUUUUCUAACUGGCAAUUGUCGUAGAAUUAUUGAAAUUUGAAUAAUUUAUAGACACACUCACAAACAGACGCAAGCAUGGCUUAGCGGUUGGGAAGCUCGCUUUUCAACUCUGCGAUUCUGGGUUUAAUCAAUAGUUUUGUGGGUGGGAUUUGGUAUGAAGAAACCCGACUCGUGUGCAUGUUUUUGUUUUUGAUACAAUAAGGUAACUUAAUUACUCAAUAAAUAUAAUACCAGACCGAACUAAGUAUUGGAUUCAAUAUGAUCGACUUUAACUCUUUGGAGGUGGUCCUUUAAUCUGGACACAACCCUUGACGGAAACCAGUGAAAGAUGAGAUGUAAGGACAUUUAAUAUUUGGCAUCAAACAUAUCCUCUUAUUUGUAAUUAGGCUGAAAAACGAUAAAGAAAUGUUUUUCACCCUUGCAUAUUGAUAAUUUAGAGGUCAUAGGGUCUGGGAGAAGAAAAAAUGGGAAGUUGCAGCGUUUUGUUUUCACUGGUAGAAAACCUGGGAUUCUGGGCAACUGGGGACCGUUAAGUCGGAGAAAGUUAUUGAUGUUGCCCUCGAUCAAGCUGACCUACGAUCCAUGGCACUCCGGCCUUGACAAUCUCGUCUUAUUUUCAGAUGUAGCGUAUCUAGGACGAUUUUAACCAAGGUGUCCUGCUGUAUUUAAGAGAGUAGCAUGAUUUGAGAAGGAUUUGGCUGCUAGUUUUAGCUGCGUUGAGAGAUCACGAAGAGGUUUCUGCGUUGUCCUGAGUCAAAGGACAUUUUAAUUCGAGAUUUAGAAUAUCGCGAGACUCAAAGUCACGUGCAGCGUGUGGAAUCUCAUCUCAUCAGACUCGUGUGCCAGCAACUUUGGAAGCCUUUCGGCGGUCUGCAGGGAAAUCGGCUUCAAAUUUUACCCGACCGUCUCAAGGCAGUAUGGUGUCUGUCUGUACUUAAAAUGUAGCUUCUAUAGCCUUUACAGCCAUGUGUGUGUGUGUACCAUUGGCUUGACACAUUGCGAUGGUUAUAAGUGAGCAUCACCGCCGUUACAGUCUACCAUGGGGAAAUAUCUUGCUUGGAAACAAGAGAGGUUUGACGACAGGAAGGGCAUUUGGACGAGGAAAAUCUGCCUCAACCAACUUCAUCUGAUUCGUGCAAGCAUUGAAAAGUGAACUUUAAACACAGGUUGCUCACACCAUUCUACCAAUCCUAUAACAGUUCUAGUUUUUGCACAAGGGUUAGGGCAGUUGUCGGUUGCAUCGAUCCAGUACUUGAUUGGCACUUGAUUUUAUCAACCUUGGAAGAUGAAGGGUAGAGUUGACCUCGCCGGGAUUUGAACUCAAAACGUAAAGAGUUGGAUGAACUGCCGCUAAGCAUUUUGUCUGCUUCAGUGUCCUGAAGAAAUAAAUUAGAAAAAUAAAAUUAAAUCGAUCACCCCCACCCCACCCCACCUAUUUCUAUUUUGCUUGUAUUUCUCUAACUUUUUUUCAUCUGUAGAUAUUUAUGCCCAAUGGUCAGAUAUCAGCUCAUCCAAUCAUUACACUGUUCCGUCCGGUCAUCUCUGCCGUCUCUCUUUGUGGUUACUUCAGUAUAAUUUAGCCAAACUGUCCAAACUCCUCUUAAUGACAAACCCAUUUACAUUUUCUGUUACUGUUUACCAUUCCGUCUUUUGUUUUCCUUUGUGACGGCCUAUUGAUCAUUCAGGUGGUUCCUCAUCUUCUUUACUUCCCCGUUAAUCAAACUAUUUCAACUGAACAAUCAAUGGCCAUUCCACCAGCUCUCUUUUUAGAAAGCCAGUUUGAGCUUGACGGUAAACUUUAAUUAAGAUAUAAAGCCAACCAUUUAGGUUGUUACUAUAGGCAAAACAAAACUCUUAAUUUAAUUGCUUCCCCGCCAUCGCGUUUCUGUCCGUUUUCCUCUCUCUCUUUUCUUUGUAUAUUAAAUGAGAAAAUCUGAUUAACGACAUAGAAAAUAAAAAAGUGUAAAAGGAAAGCCGUUCCUAAGAUCCAUCACUUCCGGUCGGUUUCAUUUUGUUUGACAAUCAUUUAGUUAUUUAGAGUUUCUUUGUAGGAAAAGAUUUAUUUGUUCCUCGUAACCAACUCCCUUCACCGACACCGACAAUUAAUUAGUUUAUGUUUAAAAUAUAUUCUAGCGGCGUCAAAUCUUCAGCGACAUCCUUGCAAGUUUUUCUGUUUGUUUUCCUUUACUCGUUACUAAAACGAAUCUCAAGUCACAAACACUAUCCAUCCAUCUAUCCAUCCAUCUAUCUAUCUAUCUAUCUAUCUAUCUAUCUAUCCAUCUAUCUAUCUAUCUAUCUAUCUAUCUAUCUAUCUAUCUCUAUCUAUCUAUCUAUCUAUCUAUAUAUCUAUCUAUCUAUCUAUCCUAACUUGUCCCAUCUGUGUGCAGCCCUGUGUGGCCAAUAAAGAAACUUAUCCUAUCUAUCUAUCUAUCUAUCUAUCUAUCUAUCUAUCUAUCUAUCUAUCUAUCUAUCUAUCUAUCUAUCUAUCUAUCCAUCUAUCUACACACAUACAUAUACACCCACAUCUCUAUAUAUACAAAUAUAAGAAGCGAUAUACGGACUGCUUUUUCUUUUUCUUUUUGAGUUUGGUUAUAUUAAAAAGGAAGCAAGGACUGUUUGUGUUGCUUCUUUGUGAUGUGGACAGUUUUUUUUUCUUUUACAAAUGAAAAAGGAAUAUAUUAAAAAAGAAGCGCGGGUUGUUCUCCGCUGUGAACUUCAAUAUCUGUUUUUAUUCCAUUCUUUUUCUUCUCCAAAUAACAAAACAACGCAAACAGUUCCUGCAUCCCCCUUUUUAGUAUUCCCCAUUCCACCCCCCUCCUUUUCGUAUAUGAAAAACCUGCCGACGAGGUUCUGGUUGCGAUGAAAGAAAGAAUUCACAAACAACUUAAAACGGAACGUUUUAGCCGUACUUUAUUAGUUUUUCGUGGAAUUUGGUUGUAGUGGUGGUGGCGGUAGACCUGGAGUUUCUAUUGUUCUUUUGCUUGUUUUAGUUAUAUGACCGCGGCCACGCUGGAGCCCUGCUCUGAAGGAUUCCAAUAAUUAUUUUAAAUCUAUUUCUUAUUCUAUCGGUUCUUUUUGGCGAACCACUAGUUUUACCGGAAAGUAAACAAACCUACACCGGCUCUGAAGCAGUGAGACACGAAUACACGUUUAUUUGUGUGUGUGUGUGUGUAUACAUACACACAGAAAGAGAGAGAAUGGACCAAUGGGCUUCCAUAGUUUCGGUUUCGGUGACGGUGUUACGUAACACACUUUCUCUAAUAAAGUGGUUGGCGUUAGGAAGAGCAUCCGGCCGUAGAGAUCAUGCCACAACAAACAAUUGGAGCCUGGACAAGCGCCCCAGCUGGCCAGCCCCUGUCAAACGGUCCAACCCAGCAUGGGAAACAGACGUUAAGCGAUGAUGAUGAUGACUCACAAGGUGCAGUGCAUUGGAAACGAACCCGAAACCACGAUAUUUCCUAAUGGCCACCUUUUAAACAAAAUCUAUCUCCCUGGAAUGUUUGGAGGUUGAGUUCAUUUUACUCCCCCACCUAUGGGCUGCCCUUCCCCCCUACCACUUGUUACCUCUCCAUUGCCCCCCUCCCCCAUAAUGCCUUAUCCUUCAUUAUCAUAAUUUACCCCCCCACCUCGCUCUCCUCUCCACUAUAUUUGCCCUACCAAAGCACUUCGUAUUUUCAUCUUUCGAUGGAUGUUUCUGCCGCCUCGAAACGUUUGGCUUCUUCUUCGUCUGCAUGACAACAUAACAUUUUAUUUCCAUUGUUUCAACAUUUUUUGUUGUUGUUGUUGCUGUUACUAUUUUCCGACUCUGGCGAUCACAAGUUUCCUCUGAUUGUUCUCUUUUAAUAAACAGUUCUCCUCUCCGCCUCCGCUAUUUCUCUCAUCCUCACCACAGGACACAGCUCGAGACAGAAUCCGAUAUUUUUAUCAGCAAAACAUUGUCUGACUUAUUUGCAUCGUUCCCAAUAUCUGGUAACUUUUCUCUCGACCAACGUUUUAAUGAUUAUUUCUUGUUCACAGUGGACAGACAGUUCGACUAGCUUGGCUCUGACAUUUAUUUUGUUGGUGAGUUUAUUUAAAGCAUUCACUUUUUUCCCUUCCUUUAUUAUUUCGACUGUCUUUCGAUUUAAAAACAGCGAUGUUUAUAUCACUGAAUGGUUAAAUCAGAGAUGGGCAAACCUAUUGUUCAUUAAGGGCUUUUUGACCGGUCCUUGAGCAAACUUUGGGACAUAAUGCACAUCUGGCUCGCGAAUGGAUCUUUCUCUCUCUUAUUCCAAGCUUUUCGUGUGACCAUAUUAAUGACUCCCGAAUGACAGUACACUGACUCGCGGUUCCCUUUUGUUCCCGAGACCCGGGAAAUAGGACCACCCAAUUUGAUAUAUUAUGUACAAGAAAAUCAUUUUUCUCUCUUAGCAACAACGAUAUACUAUUAUACAUGUGUAAUUUAAUGAAAUAUAACCCGAUGUUAUAUUGAAUAGCUAAUUCUCAUAUUUUAAUUAUUUGUGGCAUCUGCUUGACCCAUCGUCAAUUUAUUAACAUUAUCCGGGCCGAAGUACAAAAAAAAAAAAGGUGGGGGGAAUGGUUCGCGGCAUUUCGUCCGUCUUCACGUUCUAAGUUCGGAUUCCGCCGAAGUCAACUUUGCCUUUCAUGUCUUUCGGAGUCGAUAAAAUAGAUACCAGUUGAACACUGGGGUCGAUAUAAUCGAUUUACCCCGUCCCUCGAAAUUGCUGGCCUUGUGCCAGCAUUUGAAACCAAUAUUUCUCGGCUCUUUAUUUUCAGGGUCUAAACCCUACCAAGGUCUGCCUUUCGUCCCUUCGAGGUCGAUAAAAUAAUGUACUGGUCAAAUAUUGGAGUCAAUAUAACCAGCUUAGCCCAUCUUCCUCGAAAUUGGACUUGUGCUUGAAUCAGAAAUUACCAUUUCUGGGCGCUCAGCUCGUAGAAUCGUUGGAACGUCUGCAAAAUAGUUUACAGAAUUUCCUCUGGCUCUUUGCAUUACUAACUAAAAUCUCACCGAGGUCAGCUUUACCUUUCGUUGUUUCGGGAGUCGAUGGAAUGAAAUACCAGUCAUGUACUGGUAUGAUGUAAUCGACUUGCCCCCUCCCCCACCCUUCCUCUCAAAAUCGUAUUCCUUGCACCUAACUUACAAAGAAUUCUAAUAAUAUUAUCGUUAAGGCGGCGAGCUGGCAGAAUCGUUAGCACGCCGGGCGAAAUGCUUUGUGGUAUUUCGUCCGCCGCUGCGUUCUGAGUUCAAAUUCCGCUGAGGUCGACUUUGCCUUUCAUCCUUUUGGCGUCGAUAAAUUAAGUACCAGUUGCGUACUGGGUAGAUCUAAUCGACUGCCCCCCUCCCCCAAAAUUCCGGGGUUUGUGCCUAGAGUAGACAAGAAUAUCAUCGGUAGAAGUAAUUUGAAACGUUUGCGUAACACCCGGAAUCCAGAAGCGGGUGGUUGGUCAUUGCCGCACCGACAGAAGGGUUUUAUUCCAGGUAGAAUGCUUUGCGGUGUUGAAUUACGGGGCUGAAAUCUCGCUGUAGUUAACGUCUCUACCUUUCUUCCUUGAUCGGGUCGAUAAAAUAAAAUACCAGUUAUGUACUGGGGUCCAUUUAACUGAUCAUGGUUCUUCCCCGAAUAUUUCAGCCUCAAGUGUCUGGUAGUAUAGCAGUUGCUAUUGUUGGUGUUGGUGUUGUUGUUGUUGUAGUACAGUGCUCUCCGUUGAGUGUGAAAAUGUUUGAUUUCGGCAGCAUUCCAAAUGACUUCACACUUUUAAAGGAAGGAAAACAUUCGGCGGUGGCGGCGGCGGCGGCGGUGGUGGUGGUGGAAAUCAGGUUAGCGACGACUCCGGCCUACUUAGGUUGAACGUGUGUUCAGCUGUUUUGUUUUGUUUUCACUGGUUUCUGAAAUGUCGGUGUUUGAGGUAGGAGGCAAUGGGGAGAGGGGGAGGAGGGGGGACAGUUUGAGGAGUGAAACGAGUUUUCAGCUGGAAGAGGGAGAGUGGGGGGGGAGCGAGAGAGAGAGAGAGUGAGGGGGGGGGGAAGGCGAUGACAAAAACUAUUUGUUAACAAUGUGCGCCGGCGACCUGUUCCAAAUCUGUCAGAGUUACAUCAGAAACUUUUUGUAGAUAAAGAAAUAUUAAUCAUAAUUGCAUACACACACGUGUGUGUGUGUGUGUGUGUGUUGGUGUCGCUUUAUAUUCGUGUCUGGCUUUUAUUUGUGUCAUAUAUAUAUUUUCCUCUCUCUAUCUGUGAACAGGGAUCUUCCUUUUUUAUUUCCAAUGCCCCUCAAAAGUGAAACCUAAUUUUGCCAAGCAUUUGUAUCUUCUACUUGCUCUUAAUCUAUCUCUCUCUCUCUCUCUCUCUCUCUCUCUCUCUCUCUCUCUCUGUCUGUCUCUCUCUGUCUCUCUCUUUCUCUCAACAUUUGUUUCACUCGCUUAAUUAAUUUCCGUCUACAAAUUUUCUCAUUAUGUCUACUAAUGUAUGAAAUCUUUAUUACAAACGAAUUCACUCCUCUAUUUACUGCCAGUUUUAUAUACAACCUCCUUUUUCAUUAUUUCCCCAGUUGUGUGGUCCUACAACACGAUGUAUAUAUAAUGUGUAUAUGUAUAUAUAUAUAUAUAUUUUUUUUUUCCUCUGUCUUCCCUUCUCUGGAUCUUUUCUUCUCCUAUGUUUCCGACGAAGAGCUCCGUUCGAAACGCUAAACCCCCCUUCUUUCCUGAGCGUCCAAUAAUACUAUAUUUGUUCCACGUCCUCGCGUUGUUGUGUUUUUUUGUGUUUCUUGUUUGGAUUAACUAUAUAUAUGUAUGUAUAUAUAUAUAUAUAUAUAUAUAUAUAUAUAUAUAUAUAUGUAACGGGAAGCUUUAUGAAAAUAAACAAAAGAGGAAGGCAGGUGGAGUACAAACAAACAAAUGUAUUAGUAUGGCGCUCAGGAAUAUAAAUAAAACAUGUCUUUUAUGUUUCGAGCCUACGCUCUUCAACAGAAAGAUACACAGAAAAGAAACACGGAGAGAAACAAGGAGAGAAAAAAAAUAUAUAUAUAUAUAUAUAAUAUGAAACAGGUAGGACGAAGUAUUACAACUAAAUGAGCUUGUUCGGCAUUAAGAAAAAAAGAUCAGAGAGGAAAAUAAAACGAAACUAUUAGAUAAGCGUUUAAAAGAAGGUCCGCCUGAAAUAAGGUCGUCAGGACAUUCACAGAGCUGAGCGAGAAAGAAAAACAUUCGCCGUAGAUAAAACUGGCAGGAAGGAAAUGGUGGAGUGAAUUGCUCGUUAUAAAGCUUUCAUAUAUUUAACCUUCUAACAGUUGAUGAAAUAAUGUUACUAUCCCGGUUAUUAGGAAUGACCCCUUCCUGAUUGUCUAUGCAAGUAAUGAGUGCGUGGCCUGUUUUACUGGCUAUUUUUAGCAUCUCGUCAAUUAUUCGUUUGGUCCGGUAGCUUUCCUUCGUGUCCUUAAUGGCCUUAUUAUGGCUGUCCGUUUCAAUGGCUGGUUUCCUUUGUUGGGUUUACUUGGAGUACUUUCUCCUCUCUCGCAUACAUUGUGUUUGCCAUGCGGUGAUUUCUACCAGCAGUUCUCGGGAGUGGCCAUGGGAACGAGAAUGGGCCCCAACUAUGCGAACCUGUUCGUUGGCUAUGUUGAGGCCCAAAUAUCCUCAAGUUUCACUGGUCCCACUCCCGAACUAUAUGACCGCUAUAUUGAUGACUGUAUCAGUGUGACUUCACUCUCCCGCGAACAUCUAGACUCCUUUCUCUCUUUUUGUCAAAUCUUUCAAUCCUGCCCUCCACUUCUCCUGCGCUAUCUCUGACACCUCUAUCUCCUUUCUUGACAUUUUGGUCAGCAUUCACCACUCCACUUUCACCACCUCCAUCCACUACAAACACACGUACCUCAACUUCUCUUCCUCCCACCCUAAAUACACAAAGCUUUCCAUCCCCUAUUCCCAAUUCCUCCGUCUCUGCAGGCUCUGUAGUGACGACCUUGACUUUUAGACUCAGUCUCAACUCAUAGCUCACCACUUCAUCCUACGUGGAUAUCUUCUUACCACUAUCCACACCACCCUUGCCAGAGCACAUUCCGUGGACCGUGCAUCUGCUCUCUCCCCCCACACCUGUCCCGCACUCUCCUGCCUCCCAUUUCCCCUCACCUACCACCCCACCACCCUGCCCCUCCAACGCACCGUUCUCCAAGCCUUCCGGCAACUCCAGUCUGACCCCUCCACUUCUCACAUCUUCUGUAACCAAUCCCUCCCCUCCUUCAAACGAGCCCAUAACCUACGAGACCUCUCGGUCCACAGCUUCUUCCCUAACCCAACCUCCCAACCCGGCAUGAUGAUGAUGAUGAUGCUGUUUAUGAAAACAGGGCAGAUUGGAUCAUUGACAAUUCAUUGUUAGAAGCGGAUGGCGUUUAAUGGGUUUAAGCCUUUCAGGACCAUAUUUCUAAUGGAAUAUUUUGCUUUUUAAUUCUAAUUCUGAAAAUAAGAAUUUGGAAGGAUUUAAUAAAAUAAAUGUUACCCUUUAUUAACUUGGUUUUUGGAACAACUUUAACAUAAGGAUCUCAUGUAUUAUGGUGACGGAAGAUUUUCACUUGAACAGAAACAGUUGGUGCCAACAAAACGUUUAGUACUUUCUGUAAAAUGGUUGGUGUAAGGGAAGGAAGGCAUGAAAUUCUAGAAACUACACCAAAGCAGACAUUGGAGCAGAGUUGCAGUCUUUAGACCUGUUGGAUCCUGUCCAGCCUCCGAAUUCUGCCAGAGUGGAAGAUGGACGCUUCAAAGAUGAUGAACAGAAAAGCACAAUUUUUGUGUCUGGAAGCCAUAGAAGGUGGUCCUUCUUUGAUACUCUUUUACUUGUUUCAGUCAUUUGACUGCGGCCAUGCUGGAGCACCACCUUUAAUCGAGCAACUCGACCCCGGGACUUAUUCUUUUGUAAGCCCAGUACUUAUUCUAUCGGUCUCUUUUGCCGAACCGCUAAGUGAUGGGGACAUAAACACACCAGCAUUGGUUGUCAAGCAAUGCUAGGGGGACAAACACAGACACACAAACACACACAUGCACAUACAUAUAUACAACGGGCUUCUUUCAGUUUCCGUCUACCAAAUCCACUCACAAGGCUUUGGUCGGCCUGAGGCUAUAGUAGAAGACACUUGCCCAAGGUGCCACGCAGUGGAACUGAACCCGAAAACAUGCGGUUGGUAGACAAGCUACUUACCACACAGCCACUCCUGAUGAAGAUAUUUUUUGUCAUUUUCCUUUAUUUUUUUUUUUUUAAUUUGAUACUGCUGUCAAUCAGUUUGAAUGUAAAUGAUAUGGAACUGUUGUUUAUCAGGUGGUGGUGGUGGUGGUGGUGGUGUUGCCCUUUGACCCAACAACACGUGUGUUUAGGGUGUGUCAUCACCAACCUGAUACAAGGUGUGGAGGAAUAAUUUCCCUGUUCACAUGGAACCAAAUACUAUCUGUGUAAUAUGAAACAUAGAAGAUGGUUCUUCACCUGCCCUUCCCCCCCCCUCCACCGAACAUGAACAGAAUGCCGAGGUAAAUUUAUCCCGUUCUCACUGACUCUUGAUAUUUUGCUCUGGUAACUAAAUAAAUCUUACUUUUUUUUCUUCUUUUUUGUAUUUUUCUUCUUUGCAAGGAUACACCACACUCUUUCCUCUCCGCCCCCCUUUACCCAUCGUGUGUAACCUUUAAGUUUGGUUCGUUAUUUUCUGCUUCCUCGUUAGUCUCGCUAGGAUUUUAGGCAUUAAGUUCACCUCCAUUUUAGAGUUAAGUUUGGAGUAAAGUAAAGAAAAUGUGCUGAUCUCUGAUAAAAAUACACACUACACAGAUUCCUGCUGGUCCUUGCCAAUUGGAUUGGGGGGGUGCAACACUGGUGAGGUUUUGCUGUAUUCUUGAGAUUGGUUGGGAGCAGAGGAAGAAGACAUUAAGACUCUUGGGAUCAAUGCUAAUCAAUUCUUCAAACCCUGUUAAAGGUCCAGUUGGAAGGGAGUGGGUGACGGUGAAACUGUCAGCAAGUAGGAUAAAUACAAAGAAUGCUAUUUAUGGGGACAGCUUGCCUCCCUGCUCCUGUAAGGGAGUCCCUUCUACCUUUGCCAACAAUAGGUGGAGUGGAAAGCUGCUUGUCUAAACAUGGGGUUCUUCUCAAACUAGAAAUCUUGGUCCAAAUACAUUGAACAAAUUGGCCCCCGCUUAGCAUAAUUAAUUAUUGAGUUGAUGGUUAAACUAGCUCACAUUAGCAUGAAAUUUUGACGGGUUCUAAUUUACAUGACUUUAUGACAGGAAAUUUGUAUCGUAGAUAUGGGUUGGCAUCAAAAGAAUUAAAAUAUUAGUCCUUGAGCAAUGUUUUCUUCUCCCCCACCACACGUAAGGAUUAUUAAUUAGACCUUUCCCCUCCCCCACUACAUUAUGUGUAAUGGCUUUGACUUGUGUGGAUGGAGUGUCUGAUAAUUUUUGAGACCUAAAUAUGUUAUCAUACAUCUAAAUAAUUCUCUCUCGUGAAUCUGACAAGUAGAGAAGUCUAUUCCACUGAAGAGGUAUAAUAAGACUGAAAUGUUCAGAGUUGUUGCCCUUAUGUGCCAAAAUCAGAUUUAAAUAUUCAUUUUACUGAUUUUUUUUUCCUUGUAAGUAUUAUUAAUUAAAUUAGUGAGAUAUAGCUCAUUAUCAUAGCAAGGCUUUGAAAUAAGUUUAUUUCAAUAUUUCACAUUUACACUGUGUUGUACUUGAAAUGUAUAUUAUUUAACAGCAAGCUUUCUAAAGCACAAAUAUGCAAAUUAGGACAUCCACUACAGUGAUAGCUUUAUUGCUGACUGCUUUAUAUAUUAGCUGAAUGCUCUGUUCUGUUAACUGGUGAUAGAUACAUCUUCAGUGUGGAACAAUAAGCAAAUUGCGAAAAGUCUACCCCGCCUCUUUUUUCCCAACACAGAAGGAAUGUUUACAUUUUUAUGCAGUUUAUUAUUUUAGCUAAAGCUUUUCUAGUAUUAAAAUAUUCAAAUUAUUUUCCUAUCUUAAUUAUGAUGACCUCCUAAAUUAACUGUAUUUAAUCUCAUGCCCCGCUGUUUCUACAAACUCAACUGACCUACAUUUGGUUCAGUGAAGAAAUGGCUAAAUGGAUUAAUAAAUUUUAUUUCCAGCUGAUAGUUUUGCUGUUUAGAUCCACAGCAGGUGUUCUGUUGAGUAUUUGGGUAGCAAGGUUUAAUUUUAGUGAAAUUAGUGCCAUCAUGCUAUGAGGUGGUGGCAGACGGUAAAGGAAGACACAUUUUUCUUCUAUCUUGGUUUUCAUUGCAAUGUUGGGUUGUUUUUCUUUAAAGUUUUUCAGUGAAUAUAUUAAAUGAACCAAAAGCUCGUUAUGGUAUUUAAAGAGUUUAAAAAGAGGCAGGGGAGGGGGUUUUGUUUUGCUUUUUUGUUUGUAUGUGUGUGUUAAGCUACGAGUGGUUUGGGUUCGGGGUUUUCUGCGGUUAUUUAAAAUAGUUUGUGACCUGAAUAACGUCUGUCAUCGAGGUUUGUUGUUGGUCUUCUGUGGUUGAGUGUGAAGGUGUGUGUGUUUGUUUUUGUUGUUAUAUGAUGGCAUGUGUGGGUAUAUGGAUAUCUGUAUGUGUUUAUGCACACACACACACACACGUGCCACGCACCAACUGGUAUGGUUGACACCUUGGGCAAAUGUCUGCUGCUUUAGACUUCAGUACACCUAUAACCGUGUGAAUGGAAUUUGAUAGAUGCAGACCAUGCAGACACUUGUGCAUGUGAAAUUAUAUAUAUAUAUAUAGGCAUAGGAGUAGCUUGCUUAUGAACCACAUGGUUCUGGGUUCAGUCUCACUGCGUGGCACCUUGGGCAAGUGUUUUCUAUAUAGCCUCGGGCCAACCAAAGCCUUGUGAGUGGAUUUGGUAGACGAAAACUGAAAGAAGCUCGUCAUAUAUAUGUAUGUAUGUAUAUAUAUAUAUAUAUGUGUGUGUGUGUGUAUGUUUGUGUGUCUGUGUUUGUCCCCACCCCCACAACAUCGCUUGACAACCGAUGCUGGUGUGUUUACGUUCCCGUAACUUAGCGGUUUGGCAAAAGAGACUGAUAGAAUAAGUACUAGGCUUACAAAGAAUAAGUCCUGGGGUCGAUUUGCUCAACUAAAGGCAGUGCUCCAGCAUGGCCACAGUCAAUUGACUGAAACAAGUAAAAGAAUAUAUAUAUAUAUAUAUUUUCGUGAUCACAUAACCCCUAACAUUUGGCUUUCUAAUUCCCCAGAUCCCAAUUCAUUGGACUAUUUACAUGCAGAGUGUUGUCGAGAAUGUUGAAUAACAUUAAAGAAAAGGUUUAUUUUUUAUCUUCACAGCAUUUUUUGAUAAAGUUAUGUUUGUCUUUUAUAAUCAUAAAUCUGUCCUCAAAUAAGUUACACACCCUGUAGUUGUGUGUAUGUGUGUGUAUUGACCAAAUGGUUAUAGGCCUUGAGCAAAAUAGCAUAGCUUGGAUGCUUGAACAGGAUUCAGUGUCAGAAGUCUAAGUCUUGCUCCAAUGUUUGUUUUUUUUUGCCAUGGGUUUUAUAGCUGGAUAACCUUUCUAACAUUAACCACUCAACAGAGUGAACUGGAUGCUUUUUUUUUUUGUUUCAUGGCACAAACACCAUAGAGGUUGCCUGGCCAUCAGCAAGGCCAAAGACUCGUCUCAGGUCUUGUGUUGUUGAUAUUCACAUUGAUUACCAAUCAUUUAGUGUGUAAGGUGCUUUUUUGCGAAGCCAGCAUUGUUGAGGCCACCUUGCAGCUUGUGCCUUAUUGUGUGUGUGUGUGUGUGUGUGUGUGUGUGUGCAUAGACAGUCCAUUAGGAACCAUCAUAGAUUGUAAAACUUGGUAUUUGGUAAGGUGUUUGAUUGUUUAGCUGUGAGAGAGGAUGCUUUGUGUGAAACUAUUCAUUCAUAAAGUGUCGGCCAAUUUAGCUGUGAAGGAAGAAAUCAAUAUCUUCUCAAAUCAAUCAGAUUAACCUUCCUUUGUGGAUAAAUAUUUAGAAAUGUUUAACAAUUGACUUGAUCAUGUUUCCAUGAGAUAAAUGAUCUUCUUAUUUAACCCCUGGCCUCUCUUGAUUGAGCAGACAUGAUCAAAGCUGUUCCAGCAUUGACCAUAUCAUCUUCAUUUCCUUUUCCUAGCCAUAAUAUAUCUAAAAUUCCAUUAUCAGUGUGUCAGUGUGUCCGUUUUUGUUUGAGACUGUUUGGCAUCUUGGUCAAGUGUCUUCUGCUGGGUCGACCAAUGUCUUGAGACUGAAAGAAGCCCCUUGUGUAUGGACGUGUGUGAUCAUCAUUUAAUAUCCGUGUUCCAGGUUUUGUCAGGAUCCCUCAGCCACAAACACUGCAUUGUGCUCCAGUGUCUGCUUUGGCAUGGUUUCUACGGCUGGAUGCCCUUCCUAAUGCCAACCACUCUACAGCAUGGACCGGUGGGGUGCUUUUACUGUGCCACCAGCACACUAGUGAGGUUGCUAUGCAGCUUGCAAUCCUACAAACCCUGAAAGAGAUGGCCUUGUGCUAGCCGAGGAGUUAGAAUUGGAGAGAAGUGGGUUGAACUGGUUUCUCAUUCUACAGAAGCUGCAUGGUUCUUCACAUUUACAAGAAAGGGUGAGAAUGACCAGGUGGAGCUGCAAAGGGGUAGUUAGACAUUAGAAUGAGCAUCAUUAGACUGUGGCUGGGGCACUAUCUUGAAAGUGUUUUACUCAAAUUGACCCCAGGACUUUGUUUUUUUUUUUUCUUAAGCCUGAUACUUAUUUUCUUGAUCUCUUUUGUUGAACCUCUAAGUUACAGGGACAUAAAUGCACCAACACUGGUUGCCAAGUGGUGGUGAGACACAAACACAAAUAAAUGCGUGCGUAUGUACAUAUAUAUAAAAUAUGUAUAUAUGUGUAUGUAUGUGUGUGUAUGUAUAUAUAGCAGGCUUCUUUCAGUUUCCAUCUAUCAAAUCCACUCAAAAAGCUUUGGCUGGUUUGGGGUCAGAGCAGAAGGCACUUGCCCAAGGUGCUGUGCUGUGAGACUGAACCUGGAACUGUGUGGUUGAGAAGCAAGCUUCUUACCACAGAGCCACACCGGUGUCUAUGUGAAAUUAAAUAGAAAAAAAAAAACACAACCAAAAAAAAACAAAAAUAUACAGCAAUAUUUAAAUGAAGUUUUCUGGUUUUUGUUGAAACCAAUCCCUGGCCAUGUUUAAUGGAGAGAAUUGUAAAACGAAGCAAAGAAACAAACCAGGGAAUGACCUGACAUCGUUAAUUUAUUAAAACUAAAGUUAAAUGGGGUUUUUUUAUUGUUUUUGUAAUUAUGUAAAUUAAAACUUAAUCUAAGAACUGCAAAUACACAAUGUGAUGAUGAUGAUGAUGAUGAUGGUGGUGGUGGUGGUGGUGGUGGUGUGUGUGUGCUUGCCUUUAUAUAUCAGUGUAUAUGUGUAUAUGUGUGUUUGUGUGUUGUUGUUUAACCCCUGGUCAACCCUAGUGGAGUAGAACUAUGAUCAAAAGCAUUCCAGGCAUGGCUAUCCUGUCUCUCUUGUGCUGCACAUCUAUGACUACUGUUUCAAUGCAACCUUCUCUUUGCAAGAUAAUAAAACUGUAAUUUCAGGCAGAUUUGGCUGAUAUUUCUAGUGGGUCACUUAGCCAUGUAGGGGCUCUUUGUGUGUGUGUGUUGUUGUGUGUUGUAGGUUGGUGAAGGAACCUAAUUAAUUCGGUAUUUUAGUCUGUCAAAAAAAAAAAGAAAAAAAAAGGAAUUUAUAAAUUCUGGAGACAAAAUCUAAUUCUUGUCUUAUAAGGAAAAAGACCAGCAGAGUCUUGUAGUUGGAUGUUGGAAGAGGAUCUUCUGCCGUUUAUAAAUUGGUUGAAAUACUAUUGCCAAGUUUAGUGUUUUGCCCUCAGUGGAGAACUUUCUAUUUUACAAAUGUUUUGUUUUAUCUUGUUUCCUAUUUAAAUGGUCUUUUAUUUUCUGAAUCUUUUUACAUUAAAAAAAAAGAAUUUUUGAAAAGUGCAAUUUAAACAGGCAAUUGCUGCUGCUGCUGCUACUACUACUACUACUACUACUACUACUACUACUACUACUACUACUACUAUAACUACUACUACUACUACUACUAAUACUACAAUUACUACUACUACUACUAUUAUUACUACUAUUACUACUGCUACUACUACUACUACAACUACUACUACUACUAUUACUACUACAACUACUGCUACUACUACUACUACUACUACUACUACUACUACUACUACUACUACUACUACUACUACUACUACUACUACUACUACUACUACUACUACUACUACUACUACUACUACUACUUCUACUACUACUACUGCUACUACUACUACUACUACUAUUACAAAAUUACCAUCACCACCAAAGUGACAGAAACAAAAGGAUAUGACCAACAAUUCAUGUGAAUAUUUUCUAAUGGCCUUUUUUUUUUUAAUUCAAAUCUUUCUUUGUGGAUUUUGCUAAGUUCUAUGUUAAAUUCAUUCUCUUUGUUAUGCACUUAAUGUAUGUAUGUGUGCGCAUAUAUGUGUGUGUGUGUACACAUGUGUGCCUGUGUAUUGUGUGUGUAUAUAUUUAUGUAUAUUUCUGUUUGAGUAUAUUGGAAUACGUACACAUGUUCCAUCAUUUUAGAUUCUCUUCUCCGUUCUGGCAUGAGUGAAAGAAAAAAAAAAAAGAAAAAAUAAUGGUUCUGAAGUGGCAAUGCAAAAAGAAAAAAAAUGUAGAAGGGAUUCUUCAGUUUUGCCAUAGAAAAUCUCUCAAGCGUUGAUGGCACAAUAGAAUGGUUGGCGGUGGAGUGGCAUCCAUGCCACAAAAACUUGAUUUAAAAGUCACAGAGUUGGCUGGUUUUCCUUGUGUGUGUGCGUGCACCAGAUGAUGAAGGACCACCGAAAGAUGACACUAUCCAACUUGCUUGUGCAUUGUCAGUCCUGCUUGCUGACAUUACACGUCCAGGAAUUGAACCAGUGUGAUGACCCAUUUGAUUUUCCAGUAACUUAUUUCUUUACUACCCACAAGGGGCUAAACACAGAAGGGACAAACAAGGACAGACAUACGGAUUAAGUCGAUGACAUCGACCCCAGUGCGUAACUGGUACGACCCCGAAAGGAUGAAAGGCAAAGUUGACCUCGGCGGAAUUUGAAUUCACAACAUAACGGCAGACGAAAUACGGCUACGUAUUUCGCCCGGCGUGCUAACAUUUCUGCCAGCUCGCCGCCUUGAUUUUCCAGUAACUGACCACUACUCCACAUCAUCCGCAUGGCUGCUCUCCACAAUGGAAUAUCUUUGAAUUGUGUGGGGAAAGGUCAACUUAAUGAGUCAUUGAGACAUUUUAGCUGACUGAUUUGUUUUGCUGUGUGUUGGAUGCAGGCAUGGUCAAGUGGUCAAACAACAAUCACAAGGAUCCAGGUUCCAUCCUGUCAUGUGCUAUAUUGCCCAAGGGUCUGUCUCCUUGGGUUGCUCCAAGUCUUUUCUUUGAUCCUGGGUCAAACAAAACUGGAUAUCUGUCUGCACCAUCCGUUUCCCAAACUCCAUUCACAAGGUACCAUUGGUCAACCUGAAGCUCUGGUCCUUGCCCAAGGUUUUGCUCUUGGACUUCUUUACAGAAUUACAUUAUCCAAUGUAUGCCUCCAUUUUAAAAACGACAAUUCAAAGGGAUAUAGCUAUCAUUUCUAGCAUGUUGAAUAACCUGCCUUGUAGAAGUUAAGCUGGACUGUUGUUUAACCUUUUGUCAGUCUUGAUUGAACAGAUCUGUGUAUGACUAAAGCUAUUCCACCUUGACCAUUCAACCUUUUUGUACUUAGAGGAUUAAAUUGUCCAUUACGGUCUCCCCUUUUUUUUUUUUUUUUUUUUAUGAGGUUGUUUGUGAUUUGAAAAAUUUAGUUGCUAUUUCUAGCAGCUUGAGUAACUUCAUAGCAGUUCCUUCAUUGGUUGGUGUAGGUUGAAUUUGUAAGUGAGAAAAAAAAUGUGAGGUGGGGUUCAUUGUGAUGGAGUGUAUAUUUAAUUAGUCCAAUGUUAACAAUUUGCUGAGCUCCGUAAUGGUUUGUUUUAUUUACUAAAUAAACACAAGUGCGUUUAUUCUGGAAUAUUUUGAGAUCUGAGACCAUUUUCCAUGGUUAUUUCUAUUUAAUUUAUUAUUGUAAUAGACUUAGGGGUCUCUUUGGGGCUGCCAAAAAUUUAUCUAAACGAGCCGAGGCUGAAAGCUAACUUCAUUAAAAAUAAAUGUCAAAAAACUGUUCCAUUGGUAAAAGGAUGUAGAUUCCAGAAUGAUCCAUGCAGCGAAUGGUAUUUCAUCUGUUCAGGAAGUCUUUCAUCCAAGCUCCAGCAGUUAUGGUUAGUUAAUGAUGAUGAGGUCUAAUAAGACAAAACAUGUCUGAGUUGUCUUCCCUACUCUAUGUAAUUAAAUCGUUUGACACUCAGUAUAUUAAAUAUGUUAAUUAACAUUGGUUUUUAGUUGUUUUUUUUUUAUAUGGAUGGUGCCUCUUAGUAAUUAAUCUCUUUUUAUGCCAAUUUCUCUGCCUGCUUCUUAUAGGCACACAGGUGUGGUUUUGGGGUUCAAUAAGUUUGCUUCCCAAUCACAUGGUUUUAAGUUCAGCCCCAUUGCAUGGCAUCUUGGGUGUCUUCUAUAGCCCCAGGCCAAUGAAAGCCUUGUGAGAGGAUUUAGGAAACAGAAAGUGGGAAAAGCCUGUUGUGUGUGAUCUUAGCAUCCCUUUGUCUAUACUAGCAGGGGUUGGAUAUUUCUAUGGGCCAGAGGGUUCCAAUGCCUGCUUUGCCAUGGUUCCUACCACAGCUGGAUGCCCUUCCUAAUCAACCACUUUACUGUGUGUAUUGAGUGCCUUUUUUUUUUUUUGGUACCAGUAAGAUCACUUAGUACUCACAGGAUGUAUGUGUGCGAAUGUAGUGUCUUAUUUUGACAUGUAAACAAGUGUUACCAUCAUAAAAGUGGGGGGUCUUCAUUUUAUCUUCAACGAAAGCAUGUCUAGUCGUGGGGGAAAUAUUUCCUUACUUGGAAACAGGUGAGGUUUGAUAAGAAGCACCUCCAGCCUCAAUGAAUUCCAUCUAACCCAUGCAAGCAUGGAAAAGUGGAUGUUAAGCUGAUGAGGAGAUGAUUUGUGUAUGAUAUUGUUGAUCUAAUUAGAGAUUCUCUGGUCACCACUUCAGCAAAUAGUCUAUGCUUUGCUUAAAGAGGUUUUUAAUAAGACUGAAAGCCGUUCAGAAUUGUCUCCCCCUGCUUGCUUAACUGAUUAGAAUAGUGUGCGUUAUUGAAACAACUUUGUAUUUUCUUCAUCACGUAGAUAGAUACUUUUAAUUAAUUAUAACGUUAAUUGUUAAUUAACAAAACAUCAAAUAUUGAGGGAAACAUGCUUUUGGUUGUGCUUGUGUAGGUUUGUGGCGAACGUGCUCUCCUCUCCCAUGAGUGGGAAGCCUUCAUCAGAUUACAAAUAAGUUAUCAGUAAAAAAUAAAAUGUAGUAGUGGUGGUGGUAGUAGUGGUAGUAGUAGUAGUAGUAGUAGUGGUAGUAGUAGUAGUAGUAGUAGUAGUAGUAGUAGUAGUAGUAGUAGUGGUGGUGGUGGUGGUGGUGGUGGUGGUGGUAGUAUUUCUGACUAAUGGAAUCGUUUAUGCUGUAAACUUUUUCUUAGUUGUUCUGUGAUGGCUUCUUGAGAAAUUUGCAAAGACUACCAUUAUCACAUUGAGGACGACCCUUGAUAUCAUCAUGAACAGCAUCAUCAUCACCAUCACCAACACCACCAGUCACCUCCUCAUCAUCUUUCAUAACUUAACACUUGUAAUGAUAGCCUUUUGGAAAUUUAAAAAAAAAAAAUUCCUUUUAAAUAAGAAUUGUCAGGUCAGAGACUGAAGUGAAUUUUCUCAAACUGGAUCAAAGGAGACACUUGAUUUCACACCAAAAUAAAUUUUCUUUUUAAUGUAUAUAUUAAAGGGGUGGGGGGAGUGUAAAUUAACGAUUCUUUGGUUUAAUUACUUCAGUAUGAUUUUAAUACUGGUCAUGUUGUAUUAUAUAUAGCAACGUGAAGGGAAGGAAUGGCAUGAAGAUGGUGUGGGGGGUGGGUGUCUGUCUAUCUACAAGCAUGUGUGUGGGGCUUUGUAUAUGCAUGUGUGUGAAAGUCUGUGUGUGUAGAUAUGUAUGUGUGUGUAGUCUGUGUGUGUAGAUAUGUAUGUGUGUGUAGUCUGUGUGUGUAGAUAUGUAUGUGUGUUUGUAUGUGUGUGUGUAUAUAUGUGUGUAUAUAUUGAGAGAGGGUGUGUGUAUGUAUAUAUAUAUAUAUAUGAGAGAGGGUGUGUGUAUGUAUAUAUAUAUAGUAUGUGUGUGUAUAUAUGUGUGUAUAUAUUGAGAGAGGGUGUGUGUAUGUAUAUAUAUAUAUAUAUAUGAGAGAGGGUGUGUGUAUGUAUAUAUAUAUAGUAUGUGUGUGUAUAUAUGUGUGUAUAUAUUGAGAGAGGGUGUGUGUAUGUAUAUAUAUAUAUAUAUAUAUAUAUAUAUAUAUGAGAGAGGGUGUGUGUGUAUAUAUUGUGUGUGUAUCACUAAUUCAAGAUUUAAAUCUUUCAUGUAGAAAUGAGAAUUUUCAAGCGAAAUGAAAAACCAAAAAGAUUAAUAUUAUAAUUGAAAAAUAUUGUUUUAUUUUUUUCCCUCUGCCAUUGUUUCCUUGUUAGUGUCAGAGAGAUUUAGAAAGAAAACAAAACAAAAAUUUAAAAAAACAAAUAUGAUAAAUCAUCUUUUAAUUUGGAAUUGAUGCAAGAAUUUCUUUUAAAAUUUCUGCUUAAAAUGAUGCUAAUUCUUUCAACAUGUUUUACGAAAUUUUCUUGUUUUUUUGAAAUAUCAACAGUUAUGAUAUUUAAAUAAAUGAUAUUUUCUUUAUUUUGCCACAAGAACAACACUUAAGCAAACAUUACAAUACACAGUCAUAAAAAUGCAUCUUUUGGGAUGUGUGUGUUUGUCUCUGUCUUCUCUGUCUGUCUCUUUCUCUCUCUCUCUCUCUCUCUCUGUGAUAUAUAUUUGAGAGAGAGAUAGAGAGAGAGAGAGAGAGAGAGAGAGAGAAAGAAAGAAACAACUGAUUGUUUAACCAGCACAUUAAACAAUCAAUUAGUUGGUUAGAAAUAUACCAUUUGAAGUGAUAGUGAACCAGUGUGUGCGCUGGGGUAAUGACCCUCCCAAGACAUAAGAUAGAUAUAUGUGUGUGUAUGCAUGUAUGUAUAUAAUGCAGGUUAGCCACUAUGUAUCACCUUAUAACAAGACACCUGUGCUUGUUCCUUCAGCCUCUCAACUCCUGGCAUAAAGCUCCUGCCCCACCCUCAAAUACUCCAACCCCAUUAAAACAAGGUGGGGCUUUUUCUUUCCCUGUCCUGCAAGUUAUUUGGCAGCUUCACUGGUGUUGAUGGUAUGUAAAAGGCACCCAGUACACUUUGUAAAAUGGUUGGCAUUGGGGAAAGGCAUCCAGCUGUAAAAGCCAUGCUGAAACAGCCAUUUGAGCUUGCCAGCUCUUGCCGAACUGUCCAACCCAGGCCAGCAUGGUCACGAUAAGCUUCUUAGCUUUCCAAUGAUGCCCCCCCCCCCAUCUGGUUAGGUGGGCAGGUCAAAUGUUCCCCCUGAUCAGAAGUCCAGUUUGGUGCAGGGCUGUGUCAUCCGUUUGCAGCUGAGUGAACUGAAAGAACUUGAAAUGAAGUGUUUCACUCAAGAACAUAAUGUACCACCCUGUUCAGGAAUUGAACCCAUGAGCUAGCAGUCGUGAGUGCAAUAUCCUAACCACUAGGCCACACACCCUCACACUCCGUUUCAAUAGAAAUAGAGGAACAAAGCAGUAAAAGGUUUGCUAGGCAAUUGUGCAGCAUGGCUGUUGCAAGAAAUAGAUGCCAAAUCUUUUUGAAAAUGAAAUGUGGUUGGACACUGAAUAACCUGUUCUUAGACUGUUUAAAAUAGACGGGAUGUUCAUGGUUGGAAGGUUUUUCAUAACAGGCCUGAUCAACCAAGGCUGUCCUAGGGCCAAACAACAACAACCACCACCAUAAACAAUUGAUUCUUUCAUAGGUUCGAUGGCCAUAAUCAAUAUUUCAGAAUUAGGAAUUUAUGAGAUCCAUAAACUAUUGACCAUUUCUCUUGGAGAAGAAUGGUGCCUGUUCAACUGAUUUGCUUGAGAUACGCUGCAUGAAUAUGCAUUACGGAAUCUAUCGUAAUUUAUUGAUUAAUAAAUAAAUGGCAACAAUGAUAACGAUAAUUACCAUUAGGAGAAUUUAAAAGUUCACUGUCCUGCAGAAUGUUUAAUUGGGGCUAAUUAUCAUCAUCAUCAUCAUCAUCAUCAUCAUCAUUGGUUUUAAUGUCUACUUUUUCAGUCUUUAGACUGUGGCCAUGCUGGGGCACCACCCUGAAGAAUCUUUUAGUCAAAUGAAUCUGUCUCAGUACUUUUUUAAGCCUUGUACUUAUGCUGUCAUUCCCUUCUGCUGAAUUGCUAAGUUAUGGGGAUGUAAACAAACCAAUACCUUUGUCAACCAGUAGUGGGACAUGGACACACACACACACACACACACACAGGUUUCUUACAGUUUCCGUCUUCCAAAUCCACUCACAAGGUAUUGAUCAACCCAAGGCUGAUAGAAGGCACUUAACCGGGGUGCCAUACAGGGGGGUUGAACCCAGGACCACGUGGUUGGGAAGGAAACCUCUUGUCACACAGCUAUACCUGUACCUAUAUAUAUAUGUAUGUAUGUAUGUAUAUAUAGCUGUGUAGUUAAGAAGUUUGCUCUCAAACACACACACACACACACACACACACUCUCUCUCUCUCUCUCUCUCUCUCAAACACACUCACAAAGAAAGUAUUUGUCUCUGCAACUCUACACUUUGUAGAUAAGACUGGUUUUGAUAUUUAUUGUAACAUCUUCCCAGGUUCAGCUGUUAAAAGUAAGUGUUGUGGUGGUGGUGUUGCGGUGGUGGGGUGGUGGUGGUGGUGGUGAGCUUCAUUUCAGUAAAGUGCACUCACUCACUCUCUCACCUGGCUCUCUGUGAAGCUUAAGCAUUUCAAUGAUAUCAGGGUCACAGCUUGUUUGCUUCAGUUGACCUCUCUCAGGAAGAGAUUAACUCUGCUGAUAAUAGUUGUUGUUUUAUUGUUUAACCCCGAGACCAGUCUCGUUUGAGCAGAGCCAUGAUCAGUGGCAUUCCAGACAAGUCCAGUCCAUCUUGUAGCUGACACUACAUUAGCCAGUGUGUCUGUCAUUUUGUUUUCUUUUUAAGGCAAUAGGGUAUACAGUUUGAAGGACAUUUAACUGCUAUUCUUAGCAGUUUGAACAACCAUAUAGACUCCCUCUUUGCUUAGUAGUAGUAGUAGUAGAAGUGGAGGUUUUCUACUUGCGUAUCUGUCUCUAUGUAGGUUAUCAGAAUCUCUUCCUGUUGAUAAAUUAGCUCUGUCUUCCUGCACUUCAAUCAAAUCUUAAAAAAUAUCUUCAUCUGAUUCACUCCCUUCAGCACGUGCGGUGAAACCUCACCUUUUUUUUUCCCCCACUUUAUUUCAUGGCUGAGUCGGAAUGUCUUGGGUAAGACUUUCAACUGCAUCUCGUGGUGGGGCCUUUGUACAAGGGUUCCAGCAUUUUGAGGAGUGCUGAACUGCCCAUCAGCCCCUGUUGUUCCCAGGUCUACUCUGACCCAGAGCAGGAGUACUUGUGAGGGUCCCAAUUAUGGCUAAACUAGCUUGUGUGGAGCUUGUCAGCCUUGAAAAUAGUCUGCCUAGAAGAAGGAAACUCUGAUACAAAACCAUUGCUACCAUGCAGGAUGGUGUGAACAAGGCAGAUCUUGAUUGCAUCUGAGACAUUCAGCAGAACAUUACGACUGCCCUAACCAGAUCCAGCAUGUCACUGAUUCCAGUGGUUCCACUGGUAACAGUCGGUGUCUAAGUGCGUGAGCCUUGUGAUUGCAGCAGGUGGUCCUCCCUCCCUAAACAAAAUCACGUGGAGGCCAUUUGUGGCUUGCACUAUGGGCGUCUCCACUUCCUUCCUUCCUUACGUCCAGUAGCAAUGGUAAACUGGGUAACAGGGACAGGCUUAGUCAGUUGCAAACCCCUAGUCAGGAGUCACAUGUUGGCAAUUUUCUUUAAUAUGAAGAGGCUCAUUCACUCUCUUCAGACUUAACACUCAGACAUGAAUUAAUGCCACCACCAGCUUAGUCAGAGAAGCAGGGUCAAAACCUGUGGCCCCUUCUUGCCAAGCUCCAAAACUAUUGAGAAGAGAAUGAAGGCAGGAAGAACCCUUUAUUAGAUUUAUAUUCAUCCAUUCCAUUUUAUAUCUUUUUCCAUGUUGGCAUGGGUUAGAUGAAUAUAUUAUUGGGGCCUUAUUUUACAGCUGGAUGCUCUUUUGGUUGCUAACCCUUACCUGUGUUUCAAGUAAGGGAUCUCUUAUUCCACAUUUAUUAAAGGUAUAAAACCAACAGAUGUUUUCUCAACAGAAGAAAUGACAACAUUGUCACUGCUUUGGAUUCUGCAAUGCUUUUGGAGAAGCACAACGGUAAACAAACAUCACACACACCCCCCCACACACACUGGGCUUCUUUAAUUUUCUCUCUACCAAAUCCAUCCAUAAGACUUUGAUCUCCCUAGGGUUGUAGUGGAAGGCAUUUACCCCAAGUACCAAAUAGUGAAGUUGAACCUGUGGCCACAUGGUUGGAAAGUGAACUUCUUCACUGCACAGGCCUGGAUGGAUGGGUGUAUGUAUGGAUAGGUGGGGGGGGGGGUGCCUGUAUGGAUGGAUGGAUGUUUUCAUGCACACACAGACCAAAGCCUGGGUGCAAAUGCUUGAAAUAUUUGGAUUCUGUUAAAGGCACCCAGGUACCAGUUGGUGGAAUAAAACUGUGUGGUGGCCAUGUUUGUUAAGUUGACCAGCCAACAGCAGGGACAGUCAUAGUCCAUCUGCUAGGCUUCUGCACAGUUUCCUUGGAUCACCACCAAGGUUAUGUAGAAGUCAAACAGUUGGUAUUGAACCCCAAACCAUCUGACAGUGAAGCAGACGUCUUCGCUCCCAGGACCGCCGUGUCUCUACCUGUUUUGCUCAGCCAAUUAAAGUGUGACAAACGACAGUUGCAACAUCUCCAGAGUUGUUAAGCAACGACGCUUUCAACCGAUUCUUCCUCCUUUCCUCUUAUUUCUUCUUAUCUUUCGCAGAUUAAGAAACUCUCAGUGUUAGGAUGAGGUUGGAGACUGCUCUCGUUCUGUAGAACAGGUGAAUGGUAAAGACUGGGGAUGGUGGUGGUGGUGACGGAGGUGGUGGUGGUGGUGGUGGUGGUGGUGGUGGUGGUGGUGGUAUUGUUCAGUGGUAAACAGGUAAACACAAGUGGAGAUUUGAGAUGAAAGCAGCAAGCUGCAUGAAAUAUGUUUUAUAGAAAUCUGAAGAAUGUUUUGCUAAUUAGAGGAUUUAUUAAGUGCUGUGCUUCUAAGAGGAUUCUAGAUUUGCCAUCAUCACCGUUGUCAUCAUCAUCAUUACAGUUUUUCUUGUUGCAUUUACCAUCUAUAUUUCUCUCUCUCUCUCUCUCUCUCUUAUUACCAUGGUAUGUUAUCCAAUUCAAUACCUGACUGACACAGGUAAACUAAAAAGAUAUCGUUAAGAUAUUUAAAAGGCAUGCUAUUAUAAGAAGCAUUCAAAUUGCCUUAGAAAGCUGAAUGGGAUUCUAAACGUGUGCAAGACAUUUCUAAGAAUCUUCUGUUCAGCAGCAAAGCUUCUCUUCAAAUAACUGUAGACAUCACCAUUUUUCUAAUUCUGUAAUUUUACUUGGAAAUCUUUCAAAUCCUGUCUAAAUGAGAUGAAUUGUAGGUAAUAUGAUUGUCAUCUCUAUAAAUAUGGUUAAUGAUUUGAAAAAUUACACUUUUUCUAAUAUUUACAAGCAGCCCACACCAGCACAUCCAUCUGUUGCCAGUGUGGGUGAUGACCACAGUCCAUCACUUUGAUUUUCACCAUCAGGUUGUUUUUUUUUAAUUACUGGAUGUGUACAUAUAUAAUUACAGGUAUAGAUGUGUGCAUAUAUUCAUCAGUGGCUUUGAGAAUAAGAAUGGUAUUCCCUCUAGUUUAGAAAUAAAGGUUUCAAGUUCAAAUUCAGUCUGACACAAUGUACACGUCCAGGAAUAAGUCACCUGUUAAUGAUCAGAGAUCAAAUCAAAUGUAAGUGAGGAUAGGUGAAACUAUUCAAAGAUUUUCCAUCUUUGACCCUUUAGGUACCAAUCUACCAAUAAUAAAAUUUUUUUACCAAAUUCUUCAUUUUUUUCAGAAUUAUUUGAAAGCAAAAACAGUGUAUUUCAACAUAAAUGUGGUACCAAAGGGGUUAAAGAUGAGGUUUGGAAUAGUUUAAUCAAAUGCAAAUUUUAUCUCUUUUUAUUUUUCCAACAAAAUACAAAUCUUAGGACCCCUCCCCCCACCAAACAAAAAAAAGCAAGAAAAUAAAACAAAAAAACUGAAUUUUUUUUUUUAAUCAAAACCCAAUAUAUUUUCUAGGAAAACCAAACUUUAAACCCUCAAACCACCAUCUUCAUUUAACAUCCCCUUUUCCAUGCCUGCAUGAGUUGGACGGAAUUUGUUGAGGCAAAUUUUCUUUGGUAGUAUGCUCUUCCUGUCACCAACUCUCAUCUGUUUCUAGGCAACAGAACAUAUUCCCCAUGGCCAGACACAUUUCCAUGGAAGACGACGGAUGACUCAUCACACAGGAUGUCAAGACAACCGUGUCCCCCCCACACGAGUGUCCUCUAUAAUUGAUGUCUCCUUAAUAAGCAAACACUUUCCCAUUUCUUGCUUCUGUUGUCACAUUCUAAAUAUAGUUUCACCCCUUCCCACAUUCAUAUAUACAUCUUUCUAUCUUCCACUUGUUUCAGUCAUUAGACUAUGGCCAUGCUGGAGCACCACCUUCAAGAAUUUUAGUAAAACAAAUCAACCUCAGCACUUAUUUCUUUUUAAGCCUUGUAUUUAUUCUAUUAGUCUCUUUUGCUGAACUGCUAAGUUACAGGGAUGCAAACAAACCAACACUGGUUGUCAAGCGGUGACAAGACAUACACACACACCACACACACACACACACACACCACACACACACACACACACCACACACACACACACACACACACACACACCACACACACACUUCUGCCUACCAAGUCCACUCAAAAAGCUUUGGUCAGCCUGAGGCUACAGUAGGAAAUAGCUGGCCAAGUUACCAUGCAGUGGGACUGAACCUACAACCAUGUGGUUUGGUAGUGGGUUUCUUACCAUGCCCAGCCCUACCUGCACUGUUCUGACUGAGACCUUUGCCCAAUCUCUCCUCCCUCUAACAUUCUCUUCCCAUCGUUAAUACUCUGCUACUAAAACCUUUUAAUUAUUCAGCCAAAAACAAAACAAAUCCUUCCCCAUUGCUUCAUGUAGGAAUGCUUAAGAACAGGGCAUGUCCUGUUCUCCCUUUUUAUCUGGCUGAAAAUUUAAACAAAGAUUUAAAUCCGUUUGGGAAGAGCAGAUUACUAUUGACUUUAUCUCCCGUUCCACAGUUAAUCCAGUUCAUUUGCAUUAAUUAAAAAUAAGCCAGCAAAGUUGAUAGGUGGACAUCAGGAUUAAAUGUCCAGCAUAUAUAAUAACACUUUUGCUAGAUGAAGAGCUACAAGGAUGGGUCGAUGUGUGUGUAUGUAUAUAUGUAUGUAUGUGUGUGUAUAUAUAUGUAUGUGUGUGUGUGUGUAUAUAUAUAUAUAUAUAUAUAUACAUGAGAGAUUUAUUAUUGGAAGAAAGCAUGAGAGGAUUAAGAAAAUACUUUAAUUCUGAUUUUCAUUUUUUUCCUCUCAUUAUAAAUUAUUCUUGGAUUUUCGAUUUUUUUUUUGCUAUAAAUCUUUUUGAAUUAACUUCUUUUUGUUUAAACAUUGAUUUCUUUUAAGCUCUGACAAUUUUUUUUUUUUUGUUUAUAUCAUUUAUCAGAGGGAUGUAGUUAAAUUUAAACCGUGUGUUCACUCAAAAUCUUCAGCUUAAGCAAGACACACAACCUUCCCAGCUUCGUCUCUCAUAUUUUCUGGCAGCUCCUUCCUCUUCAUUCCUUCUUAUCACUCAACCAACCCCCUCUUUCUAAUUUUGCUCUAUCCCUCUCUUACAGGGAGGAGGAGGAGAUAUCCAUGCAUGUCUAAACUCCCUAAAUGUUUAGUGUCAUGGCAUCAUGUCACAUGUCUGACCCAUCCAAUUUUCUCCUUCUUUAAAGAAAUUUUCUGAAGAGUUCCUCCUCGUUAGCAGUUUUUUCAGCAAUUUCUUUUAAUUAAAAUAUCAGUACUUUAGCACAGGUGAUAUUAAUAAAAUUUUAAGUUUGUGGUUUGAACCGUAUUUUUGACAAAAGGUUCUUAACCCUUUUGAUACCAACCCGGCUGAAACCGCCUCUGGCUUUGUAAUACAAAAGUCUUGUUUUCAUAAGUUUUGAAUUAAAGUCUUCCACCAAAUCUUAGUCACAAUUUGUUCCUAACACUAGCUGAAUGAUAACUAAGUUAUUUUACUAAAUUUUUUGUUAUAUUUAAAGUAAUUAAAAGAAACACAAAGCAUCUCAAAAUAAAUACGGUAACGAAAGGGUUAAUUAAAAUUAUGAGAGGAAACUUUAAUGUAAAUACGAACACUUUAAAAUAAGUUUCAUAUCCUACGAACCAGAGGUAGUCUCAGAUGGAUACCAAAAACCUUGGCAUGUUUCCAUAUUAAGGGCAAUGACCAGUUGGCAGAUGAUGGUUUGGCUGCCACCCUGGGACUAGAAAGAAGUUUCUCUGUUUUUGUUUUAUGGCUGAGUCAGAAGAGGAAGAACUGCAUUCUGCAGAGUUUCUAAGAUUGGUAGAAGAAAAGGAGGGAAUAACCUUGAAACAUGAUUAUCUUCAGAUAAGACUUGAUCUGACGCUUGCAAUAAUGUGGAUCCUCUGCUAAAGAAACAGCCAAGCCCUGGAUGGUUCUGCUAAACUGACCGAUGAAUUAAGUCCGCCACAUUGCAGUAGGUACAGUCUGUUUAACAGGUAUCCACCCAGUCUCACCCCCCACCCCCACCUCAUAUGGCUUGGUUCUGUAGGGAGAGGAUCAAUUGCUGGUAGGGACCCUGGAUCUCAUUAUGCAAUCCUAUGAUACUACUGCAAAGUAUGUUAAAGCUUUAUAAAUGAAAACUUUGUCCUACCUGUGUUAGCAGUGCUAUUAAAGCACUUAAAGGUAUUUGGUAAGAAAUACUUGCCCAAGGUGCUAUGCAGUGGGAUUGAACCCAGAAUCACAAGAGUGCUAAGCAUGCUUUUGUCCCACCCAAUCAUGCCUGCACAUAUUAUUAUUACCAUUAUUGUCACUGUUAAGGCAGCAAACUGGCAGAAUUGUUGGUGUUCCUGACAGAUUUCUUAACAGCAUUUUGUCUGUCUUCAGACUCAGAUUCUGCCAAGGUGGACUUUGAUUUUCAUCCUUUUGGGGUCAAUGAAAUAAAACCAGUCAAGUCAAUCUAAACAAUUAGUUCCCUCUGCUUAAAAAAUUUCAGGCCUUUUGCUGCUAAGAGAAAGGAUUAUAAAAGGGUUGGUGCAUUAGCAGAACCCUUACACGUCAGAAAAAUGCCUUGUAAAAUUUCUCUUAGGGUUCAAUUCCUGCAUUGGUUGAUCUUGCCUUUCAUCCUUUUGGGGUUGAUAUAAUAAAAUACCAGUUAUAGUACUGGAGCCACUGUAACUGACUAUACCCCUCUCCUAAAACUGCUGGCCUUUUGCCAAAAGUUGGAACAAUUUUAUACAAGUCUACUAGAGACAACCCUGACUUCUGUAAUGUUUCCUCUUUUAACCAUUUUGUUAGAAUAUUUCAUUUGAAAUCCUUUACCUUUUGUUUCAAAGAAUUUUGUAAAGUAACUUGGUCAUUAUUAAUGCGGUGUUAGGAGCAUAAAUUAACAUAAAUUAACAUUGAAUUUUGAUGGAAAGUUUUAAUUUAGAUCACAAAAAAAUAAAAAGCUUAUAUCAUUAGGCCCAGGAGCAAUCUCAGGCUGGUUUUUGUGUCAAAAGGGUUAAAGUGAUCUGAAUUUCAUUUCAAAAUUGAGUUAGUAUUAUGCUUAGUAAUUCUAAUUCUUUACACUAAGUCAGUAAUUUUGAGGGGAGGGGAAAGUGGAGUACAUCAGUCCCAGUGUUCAACUGGGACUAACUUGGACUCUAAAAAAGAAAAAGAUGAAAGGCAAAUUCGACCGCAAUGUGAUUUGAACUCUGAACGUAAAGCAGGAAGAAAUUCCACAGCAUUUUGUCUGAGAUGUUAACGAUUCUGCCUAAUUAUCUUAAGAUGACAAUUAUUUUACUAAAUUCUUUGUUAUUUUCAAAAUUAGUCAAAAGAAUGGCAGAGUAUUUCAACCAUAAAUAUGGUAACAAAAGGGUUUAAAGAAAGAAGCCUGCAUUCAAACAGGGUUGUCAUGACUGGAAGGCUUUUGGUUGAAGGUCUGCUUGGCUGGGUUGAACCUAGGGUUAAACAACAGCAGUGAUGACAGGCAUUUUGAAUCCACUGCCCAAAUGUUGCACUGGGAAUUCCUCAAGUAGUUUUGAACUCAAAACCCUUUCAGCUUGAUACCCAGGUCCAAUUAAUGUCUUCUACCCUGGGGCAUUUAUUUUCCGACUCUAUGUAUAUCGGUCAUCAUCAUCAUCAUCAUCAUCAUCAUCAUGGACAUCCCUAUCAUUGUUCAAUAAGACAUCCCCCCCUCUCCACCGUCCCCAAUAAUUAUGAUAUAAAAACAAGAUUUAUUAUUUCUUCUUCCCCCUCCUCAUCCAUGCCACUCACCACCAAAUAUCUGCCUAAUUUAAUACUAUUUUUAGCAAUUUUUCUUUUAUUUUACUCUGCCCUCCCCCCUCUCUCUCUCUCUCUCUCUUUCGUAACUGAUAUAUAUGUAUAUGUAUGUGUGUGUGUGUAAUAAACCCCCUACUCUCUCUCCACCCACCCCCACAUUCCUCGCUGUCUUUCUCCAUCCCAUAUAUUACAUCUCUGCUUACUUUCUCUCCUCAUUAUCUUGCAGAAUCCCAAACCCUACCCCACCCCCCUCCCCUUUCACCCCCUUGUCCUCUUCUUCUUCUUCUUCUUCUUCUUCUUCUUCUUCUUCUUCGUCUCAGCUGACCCACUUAUAUUCACACACACAACUUACCCCCCCCCCCCCCCCUCCCAGCUUUCCACCAUCCUACAUCAUUUAAUAGAUUUUGUUUACAUUUGCAGUCAGCCUCUGUGGAGGGAAGGGGUUUCGGGGGGGGAUGCAUUUGGCGGGGAGGGUGCAGUUGGGUAGACUACCCCCACACCCCCUCCCCGCUGACAACAUCGCUCCUCAUCCCUCCCCACCCUAGGUAAUGACUGUCCUUCCUUUAGGGGAGGAGAAGGAGGGGUCAGUGUAAUUUGUGUAAGUGUGUGCAUGUUUCAUGUGUGUGUGAAAUUGUGUGUAUGAUACUGUGAUACUCUGUGUGUGUUUGCCAAAUUGUAAUUGGGUUUAGGUUGUGCCUGCUCACAGUGUGUGUGUGUGUGUGUGUGUGUAUGCUUUGUGUCAUUUCACAUUUUGUAUAUUGUUGUGUGUUUGUUUGUGCUUAUGUCUGCAUGUGUAUCUGUCAAAACAGUCUCCACCAACUCCAUGUGGGACCUUUUGCGACAGACUUUCUUCCACAUAAUGGAUGUCUCUACUUAUAUACGCACACGUGUAUGUAUGUUGGUGGUGGUGCAUACGUUGUCUACUUCCAGGCCAACCCUGAUCAAGGAAACCUAUGAUAAGACACUCCAACUGUGACCUUCCUGUCUUUUAUUCAGACACAGUAUAUCUAGGGCUACAUAAUCCAAUGUUCCCCUUUUUUUUGAAACUACUGUGGAAUGGUAAUUCAAGGAAGACUUGGCUGCUAUUUUUGGCAGGUCGAGUAUCUGCAUUGAAUCCCCACCCCAUCACAUCCUUCCUCCUUGGCUCUCGUGUAUAUGUAUGUUACUAUGGUGCUAGAUGUGUCUGUGUGUGUGUAUGAGAAUGUAUGUGGGUGUAAGUCUGUUAUGGUUAUUAGUGCAUCCAUAUGUGAUGUUUAUGUCUGUGUGUUGGGGUGUGAGUUUUAAAGGCCGCUGUCUUUACUGAGUGUCUGGGGUCAAUAGGUAACCAAAUGUUAGCCCCAAGAAUCUCCCUCUUCUCCACCGAAUCCUUCUAAUAAUCUUCUGCCACCGAUUUUUCAGCUGAAUGUCAGCCUUUUUUCUGUUUCAUCUCACUCAGCUUCUUCAGAUGCUUCUUCACUUCUUUGUUUACAUUGCUCUUGUUUCACAAUUUCAAAAUGUUACACACAAAUACCAGGUUUCUAAACCCUCUCUCUCUCUCUCUCUCUCUCUCUCUCUCUCUCUCUCUCUCCCUCGUGUGUACAUCCACCCCCAAACUGACACUGGUGCUUCAAGCAGCCCCAUGGUUUGCCAUAAUCCUAUCAAACCAUCCAACCCAUGCCAGCAUAGAAAGCAGACGCUAAAUGAACUCAUGAGAUAUAGUGCCCUCUCUCUUUUUCUCUCUUUCUCUCACGCUCUCUCUCAUGCCCCUUCUCUCGCCCUCCCCCUCUCUCUCUCUCUCUCAUGCCCCUUCUCUUGCUCUCUCUCUCUCUCUCAUGCCCCUUCUCUUGCCCUCUCUCUCUCUCUCUCUCUCAUGCCCCUUCUCUUGCCCUCUCUCUCUCUCUCUCUCUCAUGCCCCUUCUCUCGCCCUCCCCCUCUCUCUCUCUCUCUCUCAUGCCCCUUCUCUUGCCCUCUCUCUCUCUCUCUCUCAUGCCCCUUCUCUCGCCCUUCCCCUCUCUCUCUCUCUCUCAUGCCCCUUCUCUUGCUCUCUCUCUCUCUCUCAUGCCCCUUCUCUUGCCCUCUCUCUCUCUCUCUCAUGCCCCUUCUCUCGCCCUCCCCCUCUCUCUCUCUCUCUCAUGCCCCUUCUCUUGCUCUCUCUCUCUCUCUCAUGCCCCUUCUCUUGCCCUCUCUCUCUCUCUCUCUCUCUCAUGCCCCUUCUCUCGCCCUGUCUCUCUCUCUUUCGCCUUCUCUCUCUCUUUCACCUUCUCUCUCUCUUCACACACACACAUACAUAGAUGGAUGUGCGUGAGGUACUUUUAGCAACUUGGAGUCAGGAUGGAACCACCCAGCUCCAUUUGUCAUUUAACAAUUCUUCCGUGUUUCCCCCCCCCCCAUCCCCCCAGAUGCUGAGGACCGAGAGCUGAAGGUUACUUAUUAAAAAUGUAAACGAGUGAUGUGCUUAGGCACAUCACUCGUUCGACCAUUGGGACACGGCUGAUGAUGGACAGCCAAUGAGUUUUUUCUAGAGUCUCACAAAUAUACCAGAAAUUAUGAAUAAACAAAUGACUAUACGGCGCCAUGGCCUCAUUUAUUUAGGAUUGGUGUGAAAUUAGGCCCUUGGGGACCCUUAUGGUGUUGCGAUUAUCGUUUAGCCCAAGGUCAGUUGUGACUGGACAGGUAUUUCAGUCAUGAUUACACCUUCCUUCUCUUGAGGUUUGAGUAUUUAUGACUGAAUCCAGCAUUACUUGUUUAGACCCCAGGGUAACCCUUGAUGAGGUCCAGGAUCAGAAGCAUUCUGGCCAUGAUGGUUUCAUUUUUUUUUUUAUAUUCGGUGUUUUCUUUUUCUGUCUUUUUUUUUUUGUUAAAAAAUAGUAAGGAGACUCAUAGAUUGCUGUGUGGUUAAGUUUACUUCCGAACCACAUGGUUUUAGGUUCCGUUUCAUUGUAUGGCACCUUGGGCAAGUGUGUUCUAUUAUAACCUUGAACUGACAAGAGCAACACUAAGGAUGGAACUUAGGACCAUGUUCUCUAAAAUCCAACACAUGAACCUCACUGCCACUAUUUUUGUCUUGUUAAUUUCAUAAAUGGAAUUAUGCCUAAUGUUACUCAAUGUAAUUAUCAUGAUUAACCUAGUUUUUAAUCAACGCCAGACAAAUAAUUGUAAAUCACAACAGCUAUUGUUUGGGGGAGUUAAUUUUAUACAAAGAUUUCUUGGGAAAAAUUGUUUCCCCCCCCCACACACACACACACGGACACACAGACACUUAGUAGGUUGGAAUUACAAAAGGUUUUCAUGUUGUGUGUAUCUCUCUCCUCUCUCUUCAUGUCUCUUACUCUCCCUUUCUCUCUUCUACCCAUUCUGUCUCUUUGUGUGUCGGAAAAUGGGCGUUAAAUGAUAUAUAUAUAUAUAUAUGUAUAUAUGUGUGUGUGUGUGUGUGAAUCAGCCUGUUUUUCUUUGGCCUUGGACUAUUGCUGGCUAUUUGUGUGUGUGUGUGUCUGCAAGUUUAUUCCAUACUAGCCCAGGAUGGCUGGGGACUUGCUAUAUUUUUUGUACAGCCAGAGACUCUUCCUAAUGACAAUUACUUCAGUGUACUGACUGCUUUUUCUUUGUUUGUGGAUUAACAAAGCUACCAAUGGUUUCCUGUAAAGAGACUCUUUACCAAUUGUCCAAGCAUACUACAUGGGACUGUUGGUAUUUGUCUCUAUUUUGGAGACAGUUGCUUGAACAACUGUAAAGAAUCUCUUUACAUGAAACCAUUGGUAGCCUUAUAAGAUGAAUGUUUGCUGUUGGUAAACCAUAAUAUUUACAAUCUUAUUUAAGUUAAUAAGUUGUUGUAUGAAGACUGCAGCUGUUGUUUUGUUUGUUUUUCCUUUUGUUGUCAAUUUUAUUCUUGUAUUUUUCCAGGCAAGAUGAGGCAAAACUACAUUCGUCUUUUUGCCAUUGUGUUUGCGACAUUGAUGUUCAUUCUCUCAGUAAUCAUCGCAACAUUAGCUGGGAAUCCAAAGAUUCACUGUGGUAAGUAAAACCAUUUUGAUUCCUUAAACCUCUCCAAAGAAAUGGGUUCUUCUAAAACUCUUUCCCAACCACUCAGCUCAGGAUGGAUGAGGCAGUUUUUGAUUCUUUUUUUAAGUUCUUGAGAAUUUUUCUUUUUCCAAAAUCAUAUAAAGUCCCCCCCCCCCCACCCAUCUCUUUAUUUCACCUAAGCAUUAACUUGAACCAAAGAGAGGAGGCCAGUCUGAGGCUGACUGAUCUGGUAGUAUUAGCAGUUGAAUCUUGUAAUUUAUCUGAAACUAAAAACCUUGAGGGAAACUGUAAAGCAGCCUGUUGAGUGUGUGUGUUUGUGUGUGUGUGUGUGCUUCUUUGAGAAUUGCAUGCUGACUCUAAAUAGUCAGCAUUCAUAUAAAAAUUGUUGUGUAGAAUCUUUGAAAACCUAUGGCCAUUGAGCCAGGCUCAAAGAACUAGGGAAGAUAUUGGCUUGCUUGGAAACAGGUGAGGACUGGCCACAGAAAGAGCAUUUACUCUUUACUCUUUUACUUGUUUCAGUCAUUUGACUGUGGCCAUGCUGGAGCACCGCAUUUAAUCGAGCAAUUCGACCCCGGGAUUUAUUCUUUUGUAAGCCCAGUACUUAUUCUAUCGGUCUCUUUUGCCGAACCGCUAAGUAACGGGGACAUAAACACACCAGCAUCAGUUGUCAAGCAAUGCUAGGGGGACAAACAUAGAUACACAAACACACACACGCAUAUAUAUAUAUAUAUACGACGGGCUUCCUUCAGUUUCCGUCUACCAAAUCCACUCGCAAGGCAUUGGUCGGCUCGAGGCUAUAGUAGAAGACACUUGCCCAAGGUGCCACACAGUCGGACUGAACCCGGAACCAUGUGGUUGGUAAACAAGCUACUUACCACACAGCCACUCCUGCGCCUUGGCUGUAGAACUUGCUCCUCUGUGUUUGUGUUGUUAUCAUUUAAAGUCCAUUUUCCAUGGCUGGCAUGGGUUGGACAGUGUGACAGGAGCUGACAAGGCCAAGUGCCACACCAGCUUCCAUUGUCUGUUUUGGUAUGGUUUCUGCAGCUGGAUGCCCUUCCUUAUGCCAACUACUUUACAGAGUGUACUGGGUGCUUUUUACGUAGAACCUGGCCCCUAAUAAAUAUUCAAAUAUACAUAUGGUCUGCGGCCUUUCUUCCAGCACUUUCCAUUCUCAGUUGAAUUCCUGCUGAUGUUUGGUUUUCAUCCUUUCAAGGGCACUGGGAGUUGCUGUAGUGGACUUAGUUGACUUCCCCCUCCCCUCAAAAUCACUGCCCUUGUGCCAAAAUUAGAAAGAAUUGUAAUUAAAGUAAUUGCAGUGGCAGCAACUUCACUGAAGAGGAUGACCUUUUCACUAAUUAUGUUAUUAAUUAAUUGAAUUUCAUCUGUGGGUGGGUUGGGGGUGUUAUUGAGUUAUGAUGACACUAACCUGAUUAGACUGGAAGUAACCCGAGUCUGCUUAUGUUCUCUGCCCUACAUAAGACAAUGGCUCUGAUAUUUGGACAUUGAGAGAUCACAUUUAACAGUUCUGUUCCUCCCCCCUCCUCCCACCCAGACUAUAAAUAUUAAGAGAGAGAAAAAUGGGGGAGGGGGCAUUGGGGUGGGAGGAGAGCCCGCCACCUCCCCGCCCGACUCUAAAUCAUCACUUUGAUGUUUUAUCUAUUCCCCUGAACCCCACCCUACCCUCUCUUUGCUAUUUCAGCAAACAGGAGUGGUGGUGGUGGUGGGGGGGUCUGUGUUGUGUGGUGGAGGCUUUUUCUUAUAUAUAUUUUUGUUUUCAGGCUGAAUUUUUAAGAAAUGCAAAAACUAUAUAUAUAUAUAUAUAUAAAUGGGUUGGAGGUUGUGUGUGUGUGUGUGUGUGUAUCAUUAUCAUCAUAUACACACAUCUCUUUCAAUUUCUCUUUCUGUAUAUGUGUGUGUGUGUGACUAACUGGUUGGGAGAUGAACCUCAAACAUCCCUUCUCUGACCCAACUUUAUCCCACCCUCUUCUCACCCCACCUUCUCUCACUCCCCCGUCUCUCUCUAAUGCCUUUAUAAUUGGCUUUGAUGAACUCCCUCUCCUCAUUCUGUUUUUAAUGGAAAUUUCUGGAAGAAUUUUCUUAUUUUUCUCCUUAAAUCAACACAAGAUCUCUUCUUCACAUCCAAAUAUCUUUGCAACAAAUGUAAACAUACAAAUACAAGGUGACUGGGUUUCGGGGUUUUGGGGUUUUUAACACGUGAAAUUCCUUUUGAAGAUGAGGUGGGGCAGAGAGAAAGAGAGAGAGAGGAAUUAAUGUCUUUGGAAUUGUCCUUAUUAUGUAACUGGUAAUUCCUUUAGUGACCCUGGAGGGGUGAAUGAUGAUGUGGUUUUGGUCCCCAGUGGCUCUGGAGUUGGAAGCUCAUGACACUAGUAAAAUACUUUUUUAAAAAUUUUUACUGCAGGAAAAAAUGGAUUCUUUCAGCUGAGCCAACUGGCAGGGGACCAAGGGUGAGGUCAAGUCUGAGAUGGUUGGAUAUUAUCCAUAGUCUCAGUAGGUCAAGCUGGGAAUCCAGCCAAAAAGCAUAAUGAUUGCUUCUAGUCGGAGGCUAUGGAGGUGGUGCCUGAGGACCCCUCCCCCCCACUACUUCCAAUGACUCUCUCAUGAAAAGCGGGUGGAAGAAAUGAAUGGAUGGACGGAUGGAUAUGAAUUACUCGGCUCAAAAUAUAGUUUCGGUGCCAAUUUUACAGCCAACUCAACAAAUUCCUUCCAAAUGGUUCUACAUGGUCACUCUGCCUGCUAGAUAUAGCAGCACAAUUCACUUUCAAACCAUAUUUUACCAUCCUAAAAUAUGAAGAACUCAUCAAACAAUGUAGUUUUCCUGGACGUAUUGUCUGGUCAUGGAAUGCUUGACCAGGGUUGACCCUGGUUGUUGUCCUUUCUGCAAGUUUUAUUAAAUUAAGGUGAAAAUUGUUUCUGAUGUUGCAACAAUAUGGAGAUUCUUUCAAGUUGGCUCAGCAUUUAACCCUUUCACAAUCAGAUUUCUCUCCCAAACACACAAUGCUUAUUUAUUCAAAUUGUUUUCAAUUAAUCAUGAACUAUCGGCGCAGGAGUGGCUGUGUGGUAAGUAGCUUGUUUACCAACCACAUGGUUCCGGGUUCAGUCCCACUGCGUGGCACCUUGGGGAAGUGCCUUCUACUAUAGCCUCAGGCCGACCAAAGCCUUAUGAGUGGAUUUGGUAGAUGGAAACUGAAAGAAGCCUGUCGUAUAUAUAUAUAUAUAUAUAUAUAUAUAUAUAUGUGUGUGUGUGUUUGUGUGUCUGUGUAUGUCCCCCUAGCAUUGCUUGACAACUGAUGCUGGUGUGUUUAUGUCUCCGUUACUUAGCGGUUCGGCAAAACAGACCUGAUAGAAUAAGUACUGGGCUUACAAAAGAAUAAGUCCCUCUAUUAAAGGCGGUGCUCCAGCAUGGCCGCAGUCAAAUGACUGAAACAAGUAAAAGAGUAAAAGAGUAUCUUCUCAUAGCUUUGAGAUUUCAAGGAUGUGAUUGUUUACUUUGAGAACAAUAAUGUUGGUCAGGUGUGAGAAGCCAGGUGUGGUCAGUUUGAACAAAACUGGGUCAGACCUGACUGGUUUGAAUAGUAAAGGGUUAAAUAGUCCUUUUGGGGUUGUUUGGGGUCUCUACUUUAUACUGACCAACCAACAAUAAUGAAAGGUUGGUUGUCAUGAUGUGUUUGGUACAGUGUUACAGCUGGAAUUUGAACCCAGGAAUUCAUUUUCCAGGACAAGAAUAAAACAUUAACAAAAGAAAAUAUUUUGAUAUGAAGCAUUGGGGGGGGGGGCUGUCAUUUUAUCAUAAAUAAAACAAAAUAUGUGGGAGUUUGAAGUCGAUGGUUUUGGACGGAAUUUUUUAGUGUUCUUUAGUUCAGAGUUUCAUCAAUUUGGAUUUCAAAUCUUACUAAAUUUGACUUUUCCUCAGCAGUGAAGUACAGCCCUUGUGGCCAAGUAUCUCACCCAAUUGGCUCUUUCAACUGUCAUAACAUCCCCACUGUCUCUCUCUCCCUCUCUCUCUCUUUCUCUCUCUCUCUCCCCUUCUCUCUCUCUCUUUCUCUCUCUCUCUUUCUCUCUCUCUCUCUCUCUCUCUCUCUCUCUCUCUCUCUCUCUCUCUCUCUCUCUCUCUCUCUCUCUCUCUCUCUCUUCCUUUCUCUUUCUCUCUCUCUCUUUCUCUCUUCUUUAGUAACUGAGAACCAUUUCCUUCUCGAUUCCCUUGUUAUUUCUCCUAAGUCCUCUGCUAAUUCUCUCAUUUCCUGGUUUUGAUGCCUUAAGAAAAGCAGUUCCUACUUGCUCCUGCUGCUGUCUGCACAAAAGAUCCUAUCAAGUAUUUAUAAAUUAACUUUUUUGUUAAGAAAACAGCUGUAUUUAAAAAAAAAAAAGAGUUUGUUUUGUGCACAAUGUAUCCUUUUUAUUUCAUCUCCUUUUUCCUUCCUUUAAAUCCCACCACACAGAAUUGUAAACUGUCUUUGUAAUGUCUCCUUAGUUGAUACCCCUCUGGCAAAUAAAAGAAAUUAUUAUUUUUAUUAAAAGACAGAGGGAAUCUGGCAGAAUCAUUUAGCAUAGAAAAAUGUGGCAUUGCAUCCGUUUCUACACAUUCUGGGUUCAAAUUCUGUUGAGGUUGACUUUGCCUUUCAUCCUUUCAGAGUCAGUAAAAUAGGUACCAGUUGAGUACUAGGGUCAAUGUCAUGGACUAGUCCCCCCCCCACCACCACUUACUGCCAAAUUUGUUAGUCUUGUACCAAAAUCUGAAACCAUUAUUAUUAGUAAAGGAAGGCGUUUGGGCUGGCAGAAUGGUGAGCAUGCCAGGCCAAAUGCUUGGCACCAUUUCUUCUAGCUUUAUGUUCUGAGUUCAAAUUCUGCUGAGGUUGAAUUUUGCCUUUCAUCCUUUGAUAAAACACAUAGCAGUUGAGCCCUGGGGUCAGUGUAAUUGACCAUCCCUCUCCCAACCCACCAAAUUUAAGGCUUUCUUGCCUAUGGAAAAGAUUAUUAAAGGAAGGCAGUGAGCCAGCAGAAUCGGUGCAUGGGACAAAAUGCUUGACAGCAUUUCUUCUGGUCCUUUACAUUUUGAGUUCAAAUCCCACCAAGGUCAGCUUUGCCUUUCAUCCUUUCAGGAUUGACAAAAUAAGGAGGACAAGUGAAACACUGGGGUCGAUGUAAUCUAUUUCUUUACUACCCACAAAGGGCUAAACACAGAAGGGACAAACAAGGACAGACAAACGGAUUAAGUCUAUUAUAUCGACCCCAGUGCGUAACUGGUGCUUAAUUUAUCGACCCUGAAAGGAUGAAAGGCAAAGUCAACCUCGGUGGAAUUUGAACUCAGAACAUAACGGCAGACGAAAUAUGGCUACGCAUUUCGCCGGGCGUGCUAACGUUUCUGCCAGCUCGUGCUAACGUUUCUGUAAUCGACUGACCCCGUCCUUCCAAAAUUGCUGGUCUUGUACCAAAAUUUGAACCAGUAACCUCUGGUAUACUCAGCUUGGUGCCAUUUCUCUACAGCUGUUCACUUCCUGUGAACUAAGAUGGUUGGUUCUGUCCAAAUCUUGAUUCCUUGUAAAUGUUAAGUAAUAUUGUUUACUGUUUUCCUUUUUAUUCCUGUCUUUUUCAGUCACUGGUGCUGUUGUUGUUGUUAUUAUUAUUAUUAUUAUUAUUAUUAUUAUUAUUAUUUUUAUGUUUUCAGGACUUUUUAAUCAAACAAUUGCAGAUGUGUCAAGAAAAUAUUCCUCCAGCAUCACUCCUGCCUCUCAGACUUUCUUCAUUUGGUCCAUAAUCUACCUGUGGCAAGUCGUAUGGCUGCUCUAUGGAAUGUCUUUGAUCUGUCGGAGACGUUCCCACCACUACCUCUACGUCUUCCCACCAAUCCUGUCAACAACCUUCUAUGUUGCUUUCGCUGUCAACAACAUAUUCACAAUUGCCUGGACUUUUGUUUGGAUUCAUGAGAUGAUACAAGUGGCCCUUGCCAUGCUUGCCGCUUCUGUAAUCUCCCUCUAUCUAUCCCUUUAUUGUUCCUUCAAAAACCUUUACAAGUUCCUCAACUUACUUUACAAAGAAGAGUGAGUAUAUCUUUUUAUGUUACAGAUUGUAUUUGUUUAGUCCUUUAGUGCUUAAACUGGCCAUCUCGGCCCAAAUAUUCUCCCUGCUUCAGCCUCUCACACCUACCCUACAAUGUCAUUCUACAAAUAAACAGUUGCAUCAUCAAAAUCUCAAAACAAUGUGAACAAAUAAGGAUUAUAUUUGACAGGAUUUUCUGAACGCUAAAGGAUUAAACUCUUAACCUUGUUAGAAAUGAAAAGAGUUUUACUUACUUGUUUCAGUCAUUUGACUGCGGCCAUGCUGGAGCACCGCCUUUUUUAAUCAAGCAACUCGACCCCGGGACUUAUUCUUUUGUAAGCCCAGUACUUAUUCUAUCGGUCUCUUUUGCUGAACUGCUAAAUAACGGGGACAUAAACACACCAGUAUCGGUUGUCAAGCAAUGCUAGGGGGACAAACACAGAUACACAAACACAAACAUGCAUAUAUAUAUAUAUAUAUAUAUAUAUAUAUAUACGACGGGCUUCUUUCAGUUUCCGUCUACCAAAUCCACUCACAAGGCUUUGGUCGGCCUGAGGCUAUAGUAGAAGACACUUGCCAAAGGUGCCACGCAGUGGGACUGAACCCGGAACCAUGUGGUUGGUAAACAAGCUACUUACCACACAGCCACUCCUACACCUAUUGAUAUAUUUCUAUACUAAAUGUGCCUGAGUUAAUAGCUUAGACAAAUGUUUGAUGAAACACUUCUGGGGUUUCUGUGAGGUGAGUCAAGUGAGGGGGAUUUUAAUGAAAUGAAAAUUUAUUUUAUAAAUAUUAUAGGUACAAACACACCUGUGUAGUUAAAAAGCCUACUUCCCAACCAGAUGGUUUUAAGUUCAAUUCUAUCAUUGAUUUUGGGCAAGUGUCUUGUAUUACUGCUCCAGGCCAAGCAAUGCCUUGUGAUUGGAUUUGGUAGAAGGAAACUGAAAGAAGCAUGAUGUGUGCAUCUGUGUGUUGAGCAUUUAUGCCUCAUCUUGAACCUUUGUUACUAGAUUUAUAUUGAAACUACCUUUUUUUUUUAAAAUUAAUUUUUAAAUUAAUGAAAAAUUAAGUAGAACAACUUUGUUAUUAUUAGUGUUUGGAACAUAAAUUAACAUGGAAUUUCGCCAAGAAGUUUUAAUUCAAAUCAUUUGAAGAGAGAAAUGGUCUCAGGUGGUGUGUUAUCAAAAGGGUUAUAUCCCAGGCCCCAAGCAGUGAUCUUAUCAUUUCUCUUGUUAACCUUUGAAGAUGUGUGAAAUGAGUGAUCCCUUACUUGAAGGAUUAGCGACAAGAGCAUCAGGAAGAAAAACAAUGCAUCAAUAAUAUAAUUCAUCUAACCCAUGCCAGCAUGGAAAAAGGGACGUAAAAUUGACCAAAGGAAAGGAUUCACCAUUUUAAAAUAAUGCUGUUAUGGGUGCGAGUGUGUAUACGCAUGCACUCUCUCUCUCAGUCUGAAAUGGUUUUUCAUUUAAUGUCUAAUUUGAAUUAGGGAUGCAGAUGUUAUCUGAAGAUAUGGGUUCUGUGAUUAAAAAAAAAUUUUUUUUAAGACUGGAGGGAAGGCAAUGCCCCUAAUCCUUCAAAACUGACAAGAGGGCAGGAAGGAUAAAGGAAUUCUGAAGCCAGUGGCCUACUCUGGGGGCUUGCAACACUAAUGGCACCCAAAGUGCCAGUAAGGUGGUGGGGGUAACUUUAUGCUCGGAGACGAGGGUUAGAGUAUGAAAGACUGGACCUAAGCAGAACCGUUUUCUUGCUGUAGAGGGGCUCUGUGCCUAUUCCCAUUUUAGAAGAGACUUGCCAGUCUGCUUGAUGGUUCCCUGACGAAAUUAAGUUUGGUAUUUGCUGGCCCAGAGGAUAGGAACAUUUUUUUAUCUUUUAGUUUAGAAAUAAUUGCUUGAGCAUAGAUUAAUGUUUUAUUUCUAGGAAUGAGGUUAAUCAGCUGGAAAAUGGUUUUAUGAAGUAUAUUCCAUUUUGUUUUUUUAUUCAGUAAUGCAAAAGUCUUCAGACUUUUCAGAAGAAAACAAAACAAAACAAAAAAAAACUGUUUUCGCAUUCAUUUUUCUGUUUCUGUGGUUGUGAAGAUUUUGGCAAAAUGUGGUUGUUUGAUCAGGUGUUUUCAUAGAUAGAUGAUAGACAGAUACAGUCCAUUUCCUUACUACUACUACUACUACUACUACUACUACUACUACCACCACCACCACCACCACCUCAUCCCUCAUCAACUGAGAAAGAGGUGUGGUACUGAUUUAUAUUUAGCUUAAAAUAAGGCCACAUAAAUAUUUUCCCUUUUUCUUGUUUUUGUUUGUAUUUUCAUUUCCUCUCACCUACAUAAAUCUUUGUCCAUCAUCAUCAUCAUAAGCAAUGCAACAACAUAUCUUAUGACCAAAGAACCAAAGGCAUUCCAGAUGUGACCAUUUCAUCAUAUUUUCUGACAUAGUGACGCCAGAACUGGCAGACGCGUUAGCACGCCGGGCGAAAUGCUUAGUGGUAUUUCGUCUGUCUUUACAUUCUGAGUUCAAAUUCCGCUGAGGUCGACUUUGCCUUUCAUCCUUUUAGGGUCGAUAAAUUAAGUACCAGUUGCGUACUGGAGUCGAUCUAAUCGAUUGGCCCCUUCCCCAAAAAUUUUGAGCCUUGUGCCUAGAGUAGAUAAGAUUAUUAAGAGUAUUUUCCCUGUUUGAGAGUAAUUGUACUUUUGGGGGAGAUUUAGCUGCUAUCUUUAACUGGUCAAAUAACCAUGUAAAGACUACCUUGCUAGCAUUUGACCUCUGGUAUAUGCGGGUUAUGUAGAGGAGGGGGGAGUCCUUUUUGUUUUUCCUUUGUCUUUGUAAGUCGAAAUUUUUUAUUACGUACUGUAAGAAAUGUCCUGGAUUUCAUCAGAGGCAAUCCAGAGACCUGGCCGUGUGGUUAAGAGGUUUGUUUCACAACCAUUUGGUUUGAGGUUCAAUUAUACAGUGGCCCAGUGUCUCCUCAUAUCCUCAGGUUGAUUAAUGCCUUAUUAUGAAUGGAUUUCGUAGAUGGAAAUUGUGUGGAAGCCCAUCCGUGUGUGUGUAUGGCUGUCUUUGUUUCUGCAUUACUUGACAAUCCAGUGUUGAUUUGUUUACACAUCCAUAUCUAGCAGUUCAGCAAAAGAGACUGAUAGAAUAAAUACCAAACUUUAGGCAAAAAGAAUUGGUUUGUUCAGUUAAACCCUUCAAGGCAGUGUUCCAGCAUGGCUACAGUUCAGUGACUGAAACGAAUAAAAGUGUAUAAAAUGUCAAAAGUAGUUCUCUGAGUUCAGUUUGAAUUUCCAGAAGGAUUCCACAUUCUUCAGACUCUUCAGACUCUAUAUUCACAGGAGUUCUCACUUGCCUACAUUGAAGCCAAAGGUGGCCAGGAUUCCACAAUCUGCUAGAUAUAGCAACCAAAUCCCUCUCAACA
rnacentral:lncRNA from 1 species